rnacentral:lncRNA from 1 species
AAAUUUUUAAAAUAGAGAAAUUAAAAAAGAAGUGGACUUUCAGGAAAAAAAACAAGAAGAUAACGUGCAGUAGGCCCUCCCUCUCCUCAAUGAUCAACCUCUCUCUAGCCCUCUCAAUUCAGAGCCUUUUCAACCAAUAACCAUGCCUGUAAGUUGUAACGACACUUUCAAAGCACAAUAUCAAAAAGGAGAGAGAGAGAGAUGAAGUUAAGCUGAAAUCUUUCAUGAUAGCAGCGGUGUCCUCUACCACCUUUAUAGGAAAGAAGAGGAGAGGGAGAAGCUCUACGUACCGGCAAAAAUAGUGGCAGGAGGAGCCUAUAAGCCUCUACUAUUGCAGUCACCUCCAGUAGCUUUCAAGGGUUGUUUUUGGAUCUUUAAUACAUUUUAUAACUUAUUUUGAUUAAUUUUUAAAAUGCUACUGAUAUUUAUAAGUUUUGUGAUGAAAUAUUUGAAGUGUUGUGGCCGAGGAUUAAGAAAUUAUUAAAAAAAUUAUUUUUAAGGCAAAACAAGAUUUAUAUCAAUAUCUCAUGAUGUAAUUAUUUGAUGUUGAUGUAAAACUUAUAUGUGUUGAUCGUGUGUGCGUGUAUAUAUAUUUAUUUAUUUGGCCUUGAAAUUUAUUUGAUUUUUGUUGCAUAUUGAUUGCUUUUAUUAUCCAAAAAUCAAUAUUAAGUAUUAUACUUAUAUCUCGUUGAAGACAAUAGAACCACUUAAUACUCGUCUUUUUAUUUCCAAUGUGAACAAAAUAUCUUCAAGCUAUAAUAUUUUUUGUUGCAAUUUAUGUUAUAUAUUAAAGGUUUUAUUAUUUGUAAAUUAAUCAAGAAUAAAUUAACCAUCAUUGGGUUUUAUCUUUGAAUGUUGCCAAACGGAUAGUAAAAUUGUUUCACACAUGAUUUUAUUGUAUUUUCAAGAUAUUAUAUUUUUUCUAUAAUUUUUAUAUUAUGUAAAAAUCAACCUAAGAUAAAUGAAUAGUUACUGAUUAUUAUCUUUAGAUCUUAAAAUCACUUAAUACAUGAUUUUAUUUUCAACAUUUAUAAAAUAUUUUGAAGUUAUGAUAAUUUUCAUUGCAAUUUAUGUUGUAUAUUAAUUAUAUUUAUUUAUAAAAUCUCAACCUAGGAUAAAUAAACCAUUACUUGAUGUUAUCCUAAGAUAUUGCCCAAAUAGGUAAUAUAAGUGAUUAAUUUGUGAGUCUUUAUUUUGUAAAUAAAAAUAUAUAACAAAGGGUUCUUUUUUAUGAAUAUGAACAUGUUGGUUUUAGAAUAUUUUUGGAAAUAAUCUUUUGAGCUGCUAUUUCAGCUAUCCAAUCAAUCACCUUCAAUAAGAAAAGUCAUAUAAGGUAACAAUAUUGUUUUUAAAAUCAUAAAAAUAAUUAUUUGUAAAACCUUAAAAUUAUUUUUUCUAAUCAUAAAUAUUAUUUCUGAUAGCACUUUAUUUCUUCAAAUUAGUGAUGCACUUUGUCAUGACAUGCAUGAUAUCAAAUGGUGAGUCUACCUCUUAGAUUGAAGAGGAAUUUAUGUUUAAUCAUAAAAUUAUGAUAUGAAAGGCUCAGGAGUUGCCAUCUAGAAUUAUAGUCAGUAGAAAAAUUAUGGUACGCGAGAAUCUGGGUAAGAGGACUAGUUGUGUAAGGGAAAGGCGUGUUAUCCUUAGUAUAGCCUAUCUAUGGUAAACUGCAUUGUUGAUUGAUUGUUAAUGUCAAUCAUAUAUCUAUCUAUUGGUCUCAUCUAAGGUUCAAGAGAGAUCUUUCUCAGUAUAGAGGUCCCUAUCUUAUCAAGUUAAACUCUAACCAUUUUAAAGUCUAAAUUUUAAUUGUUAUAAAAUUCAUAACCUAAAUAUUAAUUAAAAAAAUUAAUUUUAUGGUAUUUUUGGAAUUUUUACCAAAUCCUAAUGGAUAAUCAUAAACUAGUUACAAUAUCUUUUUUGUAUUUUUAAACAAGAUAAAAAUGUUUUUUUUUAUAGAAAAUAUGCAUGAAAAAUUCUAGAAUUUGGCUAUAUGCAUAAAAUUACAAUAUAUUUUUUGUGUUUAUGAAAUAAGAGAAUGUUUUGAAUUUUUAUAUUUUCUCUAACUUUUAAAGAAAAAAUCAGGUAUUUUAAUAUCGGGUUCAUAUCUUACAGUGUAAGUCUAUAAUCUGAUAUGAUGCAAAAUUGCUAAAAAAACAUACAACAAACGCAAAAUUAAUUUCAAAAUGGUCCCUGAAUUUUCUCAUAUUUUUUGGGAGUUUUUAAAGGUUGUUUGGCUAAACAUUAAAAUGAGGAUAAACUAAAACUAAAGGAAAGGAAUUAGGGUGUGUUUGACAAAUAUACCCUUAGCCUAAAGGUUGGGAUUGUUGGGCUCGAGGCCCAAGCUCAGCCUGGUUUAGUUGGGCAUGCAAACAACCCAACAAUUUCCUUUUCUUUUCUUUUUUAAGUGGUCUGGACUCAGCCCAACCGUAUGGGUAUUGAAAGUCCAGGCCAUCUUAUUUUCUUUUUAGAACACGAAUUAAUUCAUGUUUUGCAUGCAUUAAAAGCACAACAUGUUUAAGGGAGGAAGAAGAAAGAAAGAGGGUUAUUUGAUUAAAAUGGGAGUGUUGCUUGGCUGGUGACACAAUAAGGAUAUGGCCCUCGAUGGAGAUGCUGAUACAAACUAAGUCAGGUUUGAAUUUGGCAUUAAAAUAUCUGAUACAAUCCAAGUUAGAGAAUGAAGUGUUUGAAUUUAGAACUAAAUAUCUGCCAAAAAUAUGCUAAAUUUGAAGAUUCAGGCUAUAUUGAGAAAUUUCGGCAUGAAAACUUUGUUUUUAUUAUCAUAUUUUAUUUAUUUAUUUAACGUUGAAUAAUUAUUUUUCAAUUUGGGUUUCUUCUAGCCCAUUAAACAUUAUUUAGAGGUUUAUUUUAUUAUUGGACUUUUGUUAGUUGAUUACUAGUUUAGACCAUCCAUUAGGGUUAGUUAGAGGAGACUAUAUUAUAUUUUUUUUAGCUCCAAAUUCAAGUAGCAAGUUAGAGAAUAAACAUUUUUUUUUUGUUUGUUUGUGGCAAAACACCUUUUCUUCAUAUGGACAAAGAUUGUAUACUAACUCAUUGAAGAUUAACUGUCUUCAUGACAUCAUUCACAUACUUAGAGUUCUUAAAUACAAGGUUAUCUUUAAGUUUAAGUUUUUUUUUUUCAAUACCUUUAGUUCUUAGUUACAAGGUUACCUCUGGAUCAAAGUUCUAUCAAACCUGAUUUUUAGCGUUUUGAGUUGUUAUCUACUUUGUUAGGGGUUGCUUGACCACGUAAUCAAGUGGUUCAUAUAAGUUAGGAUCUGAUAUAGGCUCUACAAAUCAAGUUAUAUCCUUUAUUUUCUUUUAGUUAGUUCCGGCUUCUUUAGGUUUAGUUGUCUUUGAUUUGAUUUUUGAUUAUGUCAUAUCUAGAGCUUAUUAGUUUGCUUCUAGGAUUCCUUAAAAAAAGCUUUAUUUUAAUUUGUUGCAGCAUGAAAAUAUAUUAGUAGCAUAAAGAGUAAAAGAAAACAAAGAAAAAAGGUCGAAAUGUCACUUUUAUCGAAUCUACCAUAGUAGAAAACAAGGGAGAAUUUGAUCCAAACCAAUUCAGAAAAUUCUAAAUUUUUAGAUACUAGUUCUUGGAGUCCUAAUCACACCCCAUAUACAACUUGAGCUCUUUCUAUGUUCCACAGAUGUAGUUCCUCCGACUCCACUGCCCACCUUUAGCGAACAAAUGGGACUAUGGUUUUUUCCUCCUCCUACCAAGUCCUUUACUUCGAAUCGUCUCUUUGGUAAAUUCUUUCAUAUAUAAAAAGUAGAAGCUUCUGUAGAUAAACUGCAGGUUCUGCUGGGGUAGCUGUUCCCCGAGAUAGGUAAUCAGGUCGGUUCCGAACUUGCCCAUCGAGUGCCGCUACACUUGGAGCUCUUUUUCUUUAGGAACUAAAUUCAAGAUUGGAACUUGUCAUAACAGGUCUAAUUUGAAUUAAUAAUUCAAACUUGUUUUGCUGCUAUUAUUUUUCAAUUAUGACAGUGUAAUAACAUCAUAAUUGAUAUAUAUAGGUUUCAUUUAAUCUUUUUUCUUUACAUCUUCAAAAACAUCCAUUUCUCAUACAAAUUCAUUUGUUACUUGGGAAAUUGUAAUUGUAGUUUUGUUGCUGCUUGUUUUCAUAUUUUUCUUGCUUCUUGAGUCAUAUACACAUAUUUGGAUACAAUACUACAACUAUUAUAUUUGACGUUGAUUUCAGUUUUGCAGGAGUCGAAAAAAGGUGAGACAAGAGGAAAAAGGCGUAGCUAACAUAUUUGAGUGAAACAUGAAAGGAGUGAAAACACAUGAGGGAGUGAGUGAGGAAUAUAUAUUUGACAUUCUUGGGCUUCAGAUAAUUUUGGCACCCUAAAAUCAUUUUUAUGCAUAUUUGUCAAAUAUUGAUUUAAUUUGACCUUGAAUCUAUAUUGUCUCUUCAGUUUUGGGUAUAAUAAGGGUAUAAUUAUACUCUCGAUUUCAUCCAAAAUUGCAACUUGAUCUUCCUUUAUAUUUGAAAUUCUCCUAGCUUAUUUUUACCAAAAUACCAAUCUUCUUGCUAUUAUUAUUUAUUUUUUGAUUUUUUUUAAAAGAAAGAAGAUGAAUUUAGGGAAUAACCCAUAAAUGAGUUAUGACACUACCUAUCUUAGUUACAACUUGAAGUUUUAUGCAUGUACUAAACAUGUAGAAAUCAUUUAACCUAUCUUAGUUACAACUUGAAGUUUUAUGCAUGUACUAAACAUGUAGAAAUCAUUUUUUUUUUUUGUAAAUGACAAGGUUACUAUAACAAAUCUUGAGUUUUAAUUUAUUAACACCACAAAUGAAGUUGCUAAUAUGUUUACAACAGCUCUCUCUACCUCAUAGUUUUUGCUCUUAAAAGACAAUUUCCAUAAUCUUUCAAUGCCUAUGAGCUUGUAGGGGAAUGAUAAGGAAAUUAAGAGAAAGUUGAUUUUCCAUAUAGCUAGAUACAGAAACUGAUAAUUAUGAUAACCUUUCCAUUUAUUAUAAUAUGUAUAGACUUGUUGUAAUACACAUUAAUAUGUGUGUGCGCGCGCGCGCGCGUGUGUAUAAACUAAUAAUUGAGGUAGGGUUUACAUAAUUUUUGUAUAAUCUUUCUUCUUGAUAGAGCCAUAAGACAAAUAUGGAAACUAACUAUUAUAACAUGUAUAGAAUUGUCAUUAUACACAUUAAUAUGUAUAUAAUAGAAGUAACCAAUUCUAAACAAAUAAUUGUGUUAGGGUUUAGGCAAUUUUUGUCUAAUAUUUUUUCUUGAUAGAGCCAUAAGACAAUUAUUAUAGCAUUUAUGGUAGCUUUAUUUUUUAUUUAACGAUAUAGAACCCAAUAAAGUUCAUGUUUGACUUGGUUAUUUCUUGAAAAAGGAUUCUAGCAAGUGUAGUGAUAGUUAUUGAAAUUUAAGCUCAUUUUUUGUAUUUAUACUUGGGGCUAGGUGUAUAAUCACUAAAAUAUGAAUGUCAUGAGUUGUAAAUGUAUCUAUCAUCUUAAAAAGAAAGCUGGUGGCAACCUUGAAUGAUUUAAGGCCUGUCUUGCAACUAAGGAAUUUCUUCAACUAGAGGACAUUGACUUUGGUGAGACAUUAAGCCCCAAUGUCAAGCCAACCACUAAUUUGGUUGUUCUAAGUUUGGUUAUUUCCUAUGAGUGGCCUAUUCGACAACUUAACAUUCACAAUGCUUUCUUCAAUGGAAUGUUUACUAAAGAUGUUUAAAUGUUUUAAACUCUAGGGUUUUAGAGUCCUACCUUUUUGAACUUAUAUGUAAGCUUUAUCGAUCUCUUUAUGGUUGACGCAACCUUCUAUAAGCAUCCCGUGUGUGGCUCUGCCCUUAAAAGGUAAGCAUUAUAUUCUUCCGCUACUCAUAAGCUUAUGGGAGAAUGUCAAAGAAAUCAAGAGAAAAUAGGAUUCCUUGUACAACAAGAUAUAAAAUCAAAUAGUGGUACACCUUCCAUACUUAUAAGGAUUCUGACUAAUCUAUAGCAAUAAUUGUUGAAAUUUAGGCUCUUUUUUGCAUCCAUUUAUUAUAUGCUUGGUGUUUCAUCACCCAAAAUGAAUGUUGUGGGUUAUAAAUAUGUUUAUCAUGUUAGAAAGAAAGGCAAUGGAAGCUUUGAACUAUUUAAAGUUUGGCUUUUGACCAUGGUGAGACAUGAAACCUUUUUUUAACCAACCAAUGCUUGGGUUGUUCUAAAUUUGGCUAUUUCUCACUAAUGGCCUGUCAAAGAACCAUCUCAACUCAAUAGCUUAAGCUGUUAGGUGAGGUUCUAAGAUAUGAUUUAUAUUAUUAUCUAACACAUCUCCUCAACUGAAAGCCCUUUAAGCUUGAAACUUACACAAGUUCACAAUACCUUGUGCUUAAUUUUUAUCACAUAAAUAGGAAUGAGGAGGUUUGAACUUGUGAUUGCUUGAUUAUCAAGGCUUUGAUAUCAUGUAAAGAACCAUAUUAACCCAAUAGCUUAAGCUGUUAGGUGAGGUUCUAAGAUAUGAGUUAUAUUAUUCUUUUACAUGGCCUAUCCAAUAGCUUGAUGUUCACAAUACUUUCGUUAAUGCCACAUUUAUUGAAAAUAUUGAAAGGGUUUUAGAGCUAUGUCUUUCCAAACUGUAUCUCUAAACUUUACCACUCUUUAUGUGUUUGAAGCUGAAGCUAUUAUUAUGUAUGCCCUGUAAUUAAUUAGUUGAUUACAUAUGAUAUUGAUUUUGUUCAUGUAUAUAUAUAUAUAUAUAUAUAUAUAUAUAUUUAAUUUAUUAAUAAAAAUUUAUUUAUCUUUAAUAUUCAUCAAUUAUGUGAUCAAUGAAUCUAGAGUAAAUAUAAAUUUCUUGGAAUAGAAAUGUUUUGCUAAGAAAAUUAUAAAGUUGUUAUAAUUAUGAAAUUUCUAUUGCAUCAAAAUAUUGUUCUCGAUUAAUGAUCUUUUAAGAUUAGACAUUGAUUAGAACUGUUAAGACUGAUACAUAUUAUGUUCUUUUCUUUAUAAAAGGAAACAGUUGUUCUUAUAAACAAAGAUAUGAUGGAUAUCUAGAACUAAUAUGUAGAUACUUGUCAAAUGACAUGUACACUGAACUAACCUGCAUGAGAAUUCCAUAAAGAGAGAUCACUUGUGUCUAUGGAAAGGCUCACGUGACAGUUAUGUAAGUGAUUCUUAGACUUGAAAUCACUAAGUUAUCUUAUCUAGGUUAUAUUUUGAUGUUACUACACGUUGUCCUAAUCAAGGGUAACAAAUGUUAUCUUAUAUAGGGAGUGUAACAAAUAGGUAGAUAUUGGAUAUAACAUGAAUUAUAUGAAGGUAUUUAACUAAUAAAGAGAGGAUUCAUCACCCUUGGUGAAUUAGAAAAAAUGUUUCAUCUGAUCUCAAAUAGUAUUGAUUGUAAAUCCUUGCGCAAGGUGGAAUGAGAUUUGAAAAGAGUUUAAAAUCUUAUUCAAAAAAUCAAUGACUGUGUUAUUGAGAACAAACAUGAUUUGACAGCGUAGACACAUUUCAUGUUAUAAUUUCUAAAUUAAAAUAUUUUAUAUGAAGGGAUAAUAAUUACAUUGAAAAACCGGUCACUAAAAGAUUAAAUCAAACUACUUAUAACUUUUGUAAUAUUUAAGGGAUCAUGAUAGGUUGCUAGACACUGUACUUAAUCUUUAAAUAUACAUCAAGCAAUUAUUGAAUUGAUAAUAAAUUUAUUUGUUUAAUUUAUUUAAUUCUAUUUAUUAAGGAUUGUAAUUUAUAUUUGGGCUAACUUAUUAGAGAAGCUAAUGUGUCACAUAUAAAAAUCAUUGGUUAAAAGGGGAUAGUUAAUUGAGUGUGACUUGAUUGUAAACAAAAUUUAUAAAUGAAGAACUAGAUUGUAAUUGAUAUAGGGAUUACAAUUUUAGACCUAUAAGUAAUCAAGUAAGGACUAGAUUGAAUAUAUUUUUAAAAUUAGCCUAAAAUAAUAUAUGUGAUGUUAUUUAAGGGGCAAAUUGAUAUUUAAUCAUUUAUAGGGUAUUUAGGUUUCCUUAUAAUAGAAUGCUAUGUCUCUUAUUUUUUAUGAGUAGUGAUGAAAAAGAGUGAGAAAAGUAUUGUACGUAAACACCUAAAGCACAAAAGAAAAGAGUUUGCACUUUAAGGUAUAACAAUUCAUAUCUCCUAAAAGGGUUUAUGAGAUUUUUCACUGGUGGUUCGUGUGGAUUACUGUUAGAGGCCAGAUAUUUGGAUGGUUUGUGGUUUAUGAUAACCCAACCUUAAAGCGACUAUUCAAAGAAAAAAAGAGUAUCUGAUCUUCAGGUAAUCUUCAUAUAAACCCUAAACAACUCUAGAUCUGUCUAAAGGGAUUUUUAGGACCCUUGAAAAAUUUUAAAUCUAUAGUUUCCGCUGCAUAUAUGUGUUUUGAGAAACCCAACAAAAGCAAGCCUCAUAUGCGUGGUUAUACUCUUAAAAAUAAGCUUCAUACUCUUUUAAUACUCACGAGCUUGGGAGAUGCUAAGGAAAUUGAGAGAAAAUUGGAUUCCCUUCACAAUUGGAUAUGGAAACUAGCUAUUGCAAUACAUUUUUUGUUUACUAUAUAACACGUAUAAACUUAUUGUAUAUAUGUAUGUGUAUAAUAAAGUAGUUAACCCUAAUUUUUUUUUUCAGAAUUCUUUCUAAUAUUUGUUCACUGAUGACAAUGUAAACAAUCAUCUUGUUAGAGCCAUACGAGAAUUAUUGUAGCAUUCAUGGGUCAAUUGGCAUAAUGAUAGAGAACCUAAUCAUUGGGUCAAUUGGCCAGCAAUCAUGCUUUCUCUUUAAAUCAAGGAUUCACUAUUUUCAUUUUAUUCUUAAUAGCUAUGUUUUCUAUUAUUCCAGAAAAUAUGUAUGAGAUUAGUUUUAUAUGAUAUUCUUAUAAUGAUGCAAACAUAAGCACAAAAACAAUAAAUUAAUCAUAGAAAAAACAAUUUGAUGAGCAAAAAUGGUUACAAGCUUCAACUUUAAAUUCACAAUUUAAUUUUAUAAAAAUAAAAAAAAUAAAGUCUGUCUCUUAAAGAUAUUUAUAAUGCCUUUAAAUAGGCUAGAAAACCAACUUAUAAUAAGUUAUCGAAUCAAGAUCCUAAAACAUAAAGGAGAAAAUAACACAAAAUCUAAAAGAACACAAGAAACCAAUAAACAUAAACAAAAACUAGCCAAAUGUGUUCUUUUGAGCCCAAUUCCAAGGAAUUUGUGUAGUGGAUGAACCAACAAAGUGGUUCCUUGUGAAAUAAAUCCUCGAAAAUCUUCUAUAAAAAAUUGAACUUAUUCCAACAAUUUAAUAAAAAGUUAUGGUAUUUUUAACCACUAUGUUGGUCUACCUUGAUCAAACCUUAUGUUUGACAUGACUCUAUUCUACUUCUACUAGUACAUAAAAACAUUUGUCAUAUCAUUUAUAUAAUCUAUUAAGGGUAAAUUUCUAUUUAGUUGUGACAAAUGUUUAGAUGAUUGCAUCAUUUAGUUUGUUUUUGUUAUUGGCUUCUUUGCUCCCCUUCCAAUAAAGAAAAUCUAAUGAUAGUUAGAGUUUUAUUUUAUUUUUUAUUAUAUGUGACUAAUUAGAAUUAUUAGCAUGUAUAGUAGUUUUCAUUUAAAAUCUUAAUUCACUAUUAAAAUUCUCUAAAAAGGCAUAUCAUUAACACAUUUAUUAUUGUAAAACCCUUAACAUUAUAUAUUUGAAUUUCAGAUAGAAUCAAAUAUUUAUAAUGUUUUUGAACAAGGCUAUUUAAUCUUUAUAGAGUCUCUCCAUAAAUUUUUUGCUCUGGAUAUAAUAUAAAAACAUAAGUAGAUACAAAACAUGUCCAAUCCAUUUUUUUCCUCUCUUGAAAGAUUACUUUAUUUUGCAAUAUAUAAUUAUCUCUUUCUUUCAUUUAUUUAUUUAUGAAAUAAAAUGUUUUGCAGCAACAUGUCGGUUUCAUUUUCUUCUAAUAAGAAUGAUGAUUUACCGAAAAAAAAUACACACAUGCGGGGGUUUCACUAUUAUUUUGUGGCGUUUUGUUUUCAAUGUUUAUGAUCAUCACAACCAAAUUUUCUAGUUCUAGAAUCCUUGCUCACACUAUAUGGUGUACAUAAAUUAUAGGUGUGGAUGACAAUACUAUGGUUGAUUAACUUGUUUUGCUUUCAAUCUCAACCACAUUUGAUGGUAUGGUAUCUCCCCCCCCUCUCUCUCUCUCUCACACACACACACACACAUAUAGUACGUUAAGGAUUUAUUGGUAUAGAAUAUCGAUAUAAGCAUAACCAUAUAGUUAUGGGAUGUCUACAAAUGAGUUAAUGUGCCUAUACUGACAAGGUUAAGAGAGAAAUAAUUGACCAAAAGAGGUUUUAAAAUGUGCUUCGAAAAAGAUCACUAUGAGAAAAUUAUCUAUAACCAAUAAAAUUACAAAUGAAAAAAUUUGCAUUGGUAAUUGUUGAUGAUUAUAGUGACAAAAUAUUUUGGCUAAACAUUAUCGAUCAUAAUAACAACGGAAUCUCGUCGGUGUAUACCAAUAUAAUAACCAACAUGAUAAAAUAAUUAAAAAAUAAAAAGAUUUUAUAUUAAUGUAUUUGUUGCCAAAAUUACACGUCAUCAAUAACCAAUGGAAUUACCAAAAAUAUAUUCCAUUAGUAAAUGUAAAACUAUUUUAACUGGUCAGAUCCCUUUUAUCCCCUUUUUCUUCUUCCUCUUUUUCUUUUUCUGCAAAACUAUAAGCCUUUCUCUUAUUUUGGCACAAAUAUAAGUCCAAUCAUUACAAAUUUUGGCCAUCGAACAUUUCAUAGUGUCAACAUCAUUGUAUUGAUAUAAUUUUCUCUAAAUAUUCCCUACACCAAGUAAACAAACCUACUUAUUUAUGUUUUAAAUUAUUAUUUUUUUAGUAUUUGUAGUGUAGUUUGCUUGUAUAUUGUAGUGUUUUGAAACCUUUUCAUAAAAAAUUAAAGUUUGAUUUCUAUUUUAGGAUUUAUUUGUGAUUUUGGAAAAUUUAAAGCUUGUUUGUAAUUUGAUGUAAUCAAUUUGAUUUUAUAAAUUAAGUAUGUUACAAUGAAAGAAAUUAUGGGUUAUUUAAGGGAUAACAAUUAUAUUUUAUCGAUUUUAUUGUUAAGUUGAAAGUAUUAGAGAAAUUGAUUUUUUUUUUGUGUGGAAUUGAUAACAAUUAAAUGAUAUUAAUUUAGAUUGAAUAAGUUUGAAUUGAACAAAUGAUAAAUUAUUAGUUGAGUUAUCAAUUAGUUGCCAUAAUUGGAUUUAAAUAGUUGAUACUUUUAAGCAUCAUUACAUUUUUUGUAUAAAAUAAUAAUUGGUUAUUAGAUUAUAAAUGAAUUUUUAAUUAUCAAAGUUAAAUUUUGAACUAAUUGUUAAAUGUUGUUAUCAUUAAUCUAUAUAGGUUCCCUAUGUAAUGAAUGAUCAUUCAUGGAUGUAUCUAGAUUUACGUCAAGAGUUGUAUAAGGAAAAUUAUUGUAGAGGGUUUAAAGGUUUUAUUAAUUUUGCACUUUCAAAUCUAAAGAUUAUUAGUGAAGGUAGAAUUAGAUGUUUGUGUGAAUAAUAGAAAAAAAAGUUCCCUCAACCAUAUGUUGCGAUAAUGCAUCUCAUAAAAAAAAUAGUUUGUUGAGAAAUACUUGUGGUGGCUUACAUAUAGAGAACCAUAUGUUCCUUAUAAAACCAUGUUAGAAAGGAUUGUUGGCUCAACAUCUACUUCUAGUAAUAUACAUGAAGGUAUCGAUGAUUAUCAUAAUCAUUAUAAAAGUAUAGUGAUGUAAGCAAGGAAAAAAAUCAUGGUGAUUCAAGUGAAGGUUGAUGUGUAGAUGAAGAACUAGAUGUAGAUGUAACUAGAUUUUUUUUUUAAUCUUUUAAGAGAUUUUGAUGAACUAUUAUGGGGAUGAGUGCACAAAUCAUAAUAAAUUAUUGAUCAUUGCACGAGUAUUUACAAUAUAGUUAGAUUAUGAUAUGAGUGAAACUGAUUAUGAUAUUAUAAUUGAAUGGGCAAAAAGUAUUUUAUCUUAAGAGAAUAGGUUGAAAGAGAACUUUUAUAUUGUAAAAUCCUUGAUGAAACCCCUUGGCCUAGGAUACCAAAAAAAAAUAUGAAGUGCCUAAACUUUUAUAUGUUGUAGUAUAAUAACGAUGUAAAUUUAACAGAUUGCAAAACUUAUGGGCAUGAUUGAUGUAAAACUAAUAUAGGUAGGGGAAUGACACUUAUGACAUAUAAAAAAACUAAGAUAUUUUUUAAUCACUCAUAGGCUACAAAGGUUAUUUAAGUCUUCAAAGAUAGUUGAGCAUAUAACAUGACAUCAUUUUUAUGAUGCGGAGGAUAGAGUAAUGGUACAUCCUUCUGAUGGUAAAGUGACAUGACUAAAAGAUUGAUGUCUUCUCCCAAAUGUAAGAGUGUCGAAGUAAUAAAUAACCCGGCAAGACCGGGAUCGAACCACAAGGAGAUUAAUUGUAUAAAUUAUAGACAACAAUAAUAUAACAACAACAAGAAGAAGAAGAAGAAGAAGAAGAAGAAUGAAGAAGAAGAAGAAGAAGAAGUUGAUGGGAAUUUUCAAAUGGAAGAUCAAUGUGAGAAUUAAAUAAUGAUAAAAACAAGUGUUAAGGUUUUAGGAUCCACUAAUGGUAUUUCAAACAAGUAUGGUAUAAACUCUUAUUAGUCAAAUGGAAACCACACAUAAAGGAGGUUCCAUCGGAUGAUUUGUCAUUAUCAGCUCAUUAAAAAUUGUUAACAUGAUCAUAAUAAUUAUCUUAUUAAGUAACACCAAACUUUUAAAUAUUGUCAGGAAUUCAUGAUGCUAACUUAUAUUAACAACAAAUCAAGUUGAGAGUGCCAAGCAUUUGUUGUACCAAGUCUUAUACAACACAAAUCUAGAUUAACCAUUUAACAAGCAAGGUAUUAAGAAUUAGUAAGAUAAAAAGAUAAGUCAUAUUAAUAUUAAACAUUAAGGUCCGUGUUGAGUUUACACUAUACUUAUUCUUAAACUAGUAAUGUAAUCUUUUCACCUUGACAUAACAAACUUAGCUAAACAUAAUGAAGAAGAGAAACAUAAAUAAACAAAAUAAGAACAUAAAUAAGAUACAAGUUAACUACGUAAAGGAAAGGAAAUGAAAAACAUAAACAAGUUAUUAAUGAAAGCAAAACUUAAGAAUUACAAAAAAUAUAAAGAGAGAGAGCAAGAGCAAGUUCUUGAUCUGAACAACCAAGCUCCUAAAUGUAUGGCAAAUGCAUCCUUUUAUAGGCCAAAAUUUGAAACUAUUGAUUUAAUGACUAAUUAUUGAGUGGGUGGCCAACUCUUGACUUGGUGAAAAUCCUUAUCUUCUUGUCUAAACAAAACGUCAUUGCUAACAUUAGAACUAGAACCAACUGUACAUAUGAAAAUUAUAGGAAAUUGUCUUAUCUUUCUAAGAAAAAAAAAAUUGAGGUCAUUUGGACUUCUAGAACUCGUGAUAUGGGCUGAACACUGAACAAUGUCUGGGCUGGAGGACAGAUUCAGACUUCUUCGUUGUUGCUAUAAUUUGGACUUGAAAAUGACCUUUUUAAAUCUUGGACUCAACAUGAAAGUUGUAGGCCUAUAUAUUAUCUUUCCAUCCAUAUAAAGCAGACCUAAAUCCGAGAUCUACAGCUCCAGAUAUGACCAAAUUACCGAAUAGUGUUCCAGUUUGGACAACACCAACAUAUCUUUUCUAAGUUUGGUCCUCUCGUUAUCCUUUCAAUUUCAGUACGUAAACUCAUCAAUCAAUCCUUUCAUUUAUGUGAUAGGCCUGCAUUUGAGAUGAAUAUUUUCCAUAAAUUAAAAGUAUGUUAUAUUAGUAGAUAUGUUAUUAUAAAACAUGCUUUAGUUAAAGAGUUAGUGAUACUUCAAGUGCAAAAUGAUGAUAUAAAACCUUGAUAAAAAUCUACUUUUAAGUACUAAUCAUAAAGCUUAGAAACAAUUUAAUAGGGUGCAUCCUUAGUUUUCAAUGGAACCAUGUUGUGCAUCAUGGUUUGUGUACAUAUGAGUUCAAUCCAUUUAAGUCUUUUAUUACACCCUAUUCUUAUUGGUCAAUCACACUAACAAUUUACAACUUUCCCCUAAGGAUGUAUAUGAGAUCAGAAUUCAUGUUCUUAUAUAUAGUAAUACAUAAUCCUUACAGUCUAGGUAGGAAUAUAGAUUUUUAUUUUUAACAAUUGAUUGAUGAGUUAAAGUAGUUAUAGUCAUCCAGGGCUUUGAUGUAUGAUGUCUCAUAGAAACAUAAUUUUUAAAUGAAGACAACUUUGAUGUUGACUAUAAAUGAUUUAUGGCAUAUGGGAUGGUUUUAGGAUGGAGUGCAUAUGUAAAAUUAUUUUGUCAAUUUUUAAUGAAAAGCAAUAAGGCCUUUAACUUAACGAAUGGUGGUAAAGUUUUUUUUUUUUUUAUGGUCCCAAGUCAUCAUAGAUUAAAAAAAUAGAAAUAACAUCUUGAAAGGUAAAUCUAAAAGGGAUGUUGCACUGCUGGUACUAUCACGUGAAAAAUUAUAUGAUGUAGUAUCACAAUAUUGUAUUUGGUUUUUAAUCCAACAAGUAGAAGUUUCUUAGUUUUGGUGUUACCCAAAAUUAGAUAAAAUAAAGUAUUUUUUAGAAGCUGCCUUAUUUGAAGAUUAAUGUCAUUCUCUAUAAUUUAGAUGCAUUGCCUAUUAAGAAAAAUAUUUUUAACAUAGUUAUGAAUGUCAAAGAGAAAACAAAGGAUAACUUAAAAGCUAGAAUGAAUAUAACUUUGUUUUGUGACCAUUGGAAUAUGGAGUUGUUUAAUGAUGGAGUAUGUAUUGCAAAGACCAAGCCACAUAUGCCUUAGGGAAAAUAAAUCAUAAUUUCUUGUCUAUAAAUGUCUUAAGAGUCUAUGAUUUUCUGAUGGAUAUGCUUCAAAUAUAGUUAGAUUAGUGAAUUCAAAGGAGUACAAAUUGUAUGGAAUAAAGAGUCAUGAUCACCAUGUAUUUAUACAAAUAGUCAUUUCAAUUAUAUAUAGGGAUUUAUUACCCAAAGGGAUAUGAGAUGCACUCAACAAUUUUUUUUUUAAAAGAUGUUUGUUGGAACAAGUUGCGUUCAUAACACAUAUAACAACUUGAAAAGAACAUUAUUAAAACAAUAUGUAAACUUGAGAUGAUAUUCCCUCUCUCUUUCUUUGAUUCAAUGAAGAAUUUGCCUCUACACUUAAUGUAUGAAACAAAAAUUGGAGGGUUUAUGUUGUAAAAAUAGAUGUAUCCUUUUAAGAGAUUAGAAAUACCAUUCAUUCUUAGUAUGUAAUGUGAUUUUUAAAACUCCUUUAUAUACAUUUAACAUAUAUAUAUAUAUAUAUAUAUAUAUAUAUAUAUAUAUGUUUACCUACCUAUAUGUAGAUACUUGUUCAACCUCAAGAAAAAAGUUAAAAACAAAGCACAUGUUAAGAUGUUUAUAUAUGAAGCUUAUAUGGUUGAAGAUAUUUCAACAUUUAUCAUAUAUUUGUUUGCGCCUCAUAUGUGAAUAAGAAUCAACUGCGUUCUAAGACAUGAUGGUGGUGAUGAAAUGUCUUAUUGUGGAAAUUUGUUAAUGUUUUCUCAUGUUAAACGACUAUUGUCGAAAAAUAUAGUUUUAAAAAGAAUUUUUACAGACUUUAAAUUUAGAUAAACACAUAAUUAUAUGUUAUUUAACUAUGAAGAAUUAAUGCCUUUUGUUUAUUAAGUUAAUUUUACAAUCUUGAAUCAUUUUUCUAUUGUAUUCUCAUUUAUACUAAAUUCGCUUAAGUUUAUUGUAGGCAAUAUCAUCAAUUCUUACUAUUUCAAAAUCCAAAGCUUACUGAAUACAAGAUUAACAAUUCCUAACAAGGUUUAAAACAAAAGGAAGUUUGUAAUUAUUUGUAGUUGUAAUAAGAAUACAUUUAUUUAAAUCUUUUUUUUUUCCACUGUUAAUGAUUGUUAUCUUUAACUAAUUGUAUAACAUAGGAGGCAAUAAUAAAAGUUUAAAAUUACUUUUUUUGGGUUUAAAAUGAAAGAUUAAGAGUUUUAACAGGUAUUUUAUCUAUGAAUAUAUCUUUGACAUUGAAGAGUAUGUUGAGGUAGAAAUACCUAUAAUAAUAGGUUUGUGUUGAGGGACGCCCUUUCAAAGAAUUUGAAGUUGAUUAUUAUGGCAAAUUAGAAGAGAUUAUUGAAUUGCAAUAUCAUAGAAUGCAAUAUAUAGUAUUUUUAUUCAAAUAUUAUUAGUAUGAUAUCAAUAGAGGAAUUAAAGUAGAUCCUCACCAUGGUUUGGUCAAAAUUAAUAAAUAAUGUAAACUUAGCAAUAUUAAUGAUGUUUUUCUAUUUGCCAAACAAUAUCAGUAAGUAUAUUACAUAUGCACUCCUUCUUUUAAAAAGGAUCAUAUGAGAGGUGAUUUUUUAUCCAUUGUUAAAAUCAAACUUAAGAGUCGUGUACAAGUUGUGAACAAUGGUAAGGAUGAAGUAAGUGAGGGAGAACAUGUAUUUCAAAUACAUGAGUUCGUUAAUCCAUAUUGAGUUGCUCUAUCUACCAAGUUAGAAGAGAAUACUUAUGUUCUUGUUGAUGUUGAUGAGUUAAAUGAACUAUUAAGUACCGGUGGACAUACUGAUGUUGAUAAAGAUGAAAGGAUCAAACAAUUUUAGUUUAACGAAUGAGAUGAAGAUAGACAUAAAGAUGAUGAAAAUGAAGAUGAUGAUGAUUCAAAUUAAACAUUGUUCUACAAUUAAGAUACAUUUAUUAUUGUUCAAUAAUGCAUUGUGUUUUGUAUAUUUAUCAUGUCUUUAUUAUAUAUAAAAAAAGUUUUAAAUGAGUUGUUAAUUUUUAAGUUAUGAAUAUAGGUGUUUUUGUUUAAUUUGGUUGUAUAAGGAACAUAUAAAAUGAAAAAAAAAUUAUUACUUCUCUGAUGGGUUUACCGAUGGACCAAUAAAUUAUAAUUUAUUGCAUACAUAUGUCGAUGAUGUCGUCGGUGUCGAUAAUAACACCAAUGGAUUCAUUCAUGGACGUAAAUUCAUUAGAGAGUUCUAGAGAGUUUGGGAAAAAUUUAAGGUAUUGAAAAACAUUGAUGGGUCACCAAUAGACUUAAAUCCGUUGGAGAUUUCAAAAGAGCUUGGGUAAAAAAUAAGGGUGUUGAGAAAUGCUGAUGGAUUCAUCGAAGGGAGCUUAGAUAGAAAAUUAAGGUAUUGAUAAAUGUCGAUGGAUUCAUCGAAAAAUAUAAAUCCAUCAGAUAUUUCUAAAGACCUUGGGUAAAAAAUAAAGGUGUUAAGAAAUGCUAAUGGAUUCACUGAUUGACAUAACUCUGUUAGUGACUUCCAAAGAGCUUGGGUACAAAGUGGGAGUAUUAAGAAAUGCCAAUGGAUUCACUGAUAAACUGAAAUCCCUUGGAGAGUUCUAGAAAGCUUGGUUAGAAAAUGAGGGUGUUGAGAAACACUGAUGGUUUCAUUAAUGGACAUCGUUGGUGAGUUCCAAAGAGUUUAGGGAGAUUUUAGCAUAAUUUAUUAAUUACUGAAUUUAAAGGUUUUACUUGAGAUUUCUAAAAAUGAUAAAUCACUAAUGGAUUAAUAGAUAAUUUACCAAUGGUUUUAAAAAAUUUAAUCAGUAAAACCAUCGCUUACUAUAAUGACAUGGACAUAAACAAACAUAUAUUACGUUAAUGAAUUUAAACCUAGCUUUCUCUCCCAUUUCGCUCAUUCUCUCUUUUUUCUCUUAUUCAAUUCUCUCUCUCUCUCUACCAUUUAACUCAUUGGCGAUCUCUAUAUCCUUCAUUGGGUGUCAAUGCUCUCUCUCUCCUUUUUCAUGUUGGUGCUUUCUUCUUCUACAAACUCUUGUCCAAGGUAUGUCGUUUUUAAAGGAAUAUAGAUUUUUAUUCUUUUAUUUAGGGUUGUUGUUUUUGGUUUUGUGUUAUUGAAUUGCUUGGUUGUGAAAUUGGAUUGUAAAAUGAUGGUGCUAAAUUCAAUUAAUGGUUAUGGUAGUUUUGGGUGAUUCCAGUUAGAGAUAAAGGUUGUUAGACGAGAAAGGAGGUAAUGGUAGUGUUGAUACUAGUAUGGGUUCCUAGUUGUUUCAGUGAAGGUUGUUGAAUCAAGGUUAAAGGAAUGUUUAUUAUAUAGUUAUUUCCUUAAGGUUUUGUAAUUUUUUUAAGCCAAAAUUUUCUUUCUAAUUAGUAAGUGAAUUCAAUGUGAAAGGAAGCAUAGGGAUAAAAUUAGAUUAUUGCUCAUGGUUUCAAAUUGUGGGUUUUACUAGAUAUGUCAUGUGUUUUCUCAAUUAGAUUGAAAUCCCAUUUGGUGGGUUUUAGUUUGUUGUAAUAUAAAAUAAACAUAUUAAGGAUUAUAAACUACAUGUGAUUUUUAUUCUGCAAUGAACUUGUCAUGUGUUGUUCUAUCAUAUAGCCCAAUGUGUUCUUUGUGGAUUGUGUAUUUGAACUUUGAAGUUACUUUUUUAUUAUUUUUAUGAGAAUGGACGUUGUUGAUAGUGAUGGUUAGUGAUUAAAAUGUGAGAUUACAACAUAAUACAUGUAAAUCCUGAGAAACAAAAAUCAAGGCUGGAUUAAAUUAAAGGAAAUAAAUUAAACUAAAAAGAAGUGGGGGCAAAACGAAUACACUUAAAGAAAAUAGGGCCUAAAUGCAAAUAAAAAUAAUUAUAGAGAAUAAGUAUUUCUAUUCUCAUCAAAAAUAAAUCUGUAGAUAUCGUAAAGAAAGAAAAGAGGGAGUUUUUAAAUUUAUUUUUAUAAAUCAAGAGAGAAACACCAAAAUUUCAAAAACCCAUCCAAGAUUAAUGGUUACAGGUAGAAUAAACACUAGUGGGAAAGGGAUUAACAAGAAAAAUUGAACAAGAAGAGAAAAGGGGAGGGUCGAUUGUCAUUAGAAAGAAAAAGAGGGAUUGAAACCUUGAUUCGUACCAGGUAAGGUAUUUUAAACUUGCUCUUAUGAGUCAUUUCAAGUCGAUUAAGAAUUGAUGCCUAGAUGUUAAUUUAUAGAUUUAAGUUCUUAGACUUGAAUUGAAGAAAAAGUAUGAGUUGCUAAAUUAAAGAACUUCAUGUUUUGUAUGUAAAUGGAAAGGUUGAUGAAUCUGGACAGUUUCAUCUCUUAACUUUCAGAGAGAUUUCGGGUAGGAGGAUGAAGGAAUUAGGAUCAGGUUCCUCAUAGAAAUUGUAGUUUUGGAUGUUGGUUAACUAAUGAAAUUGGUCUUGCUCAAUUUGGAGUUAUAGAACUCUAGCUAUGGGUCACCAACUGAGAAUAUGUCAUGACAGACCCUAUAGGGUAGUAGGUCUGGUUUGUUGAUGAGAAAUUUUGACUAUCUUAGAGGCAGAAUUGGGUUCUCCUUGCUUCAGAGAACUUGUAGCCUCAUGUCUUAGCUUUCCAACAAGACCAAUCUUGCUUGAAUCGGAGUUCUAUAACUCUAGAUAUAGUUAAAAAUCCGAGGAGAGGUCGGAGAGUAACAGUUGGACAGUAACAUUUCAAAAACGAGACAGUAACAGUUCAAUGUCUAGACAGUGACAAUUUGGGAUUUAAGUAGAAACAAUUCAUAUAUAUAUAUAUAUAAAGAAAUGAUAACUGUGGUUAGACAAAGAAUGACAAUAUUAAUGGGUGAAAUGAGAAAAUGUAAAUAUUAAGAAAUGACUGAAAGAAAGACUAAUUGGUUGUUGAUAUGGUUAUAAUAAAACAUAUCAUUGAGUGAGGAAAAUUUAUGAGAUAAACCUAUGAAUUUCAAGAGGGACCACAAGCGUGGUGCAACAGCAGCAACAGGGGAGCACGAGUAGAGCUUCUAUUACAGGUAGAUGAAUCGUACCUAUAUUACCUAGUUAGUUCCAUGAUUUAUUUAUAUUACCAAUGUGAAAUGUGAAUUACUGAAUGUAUGUGUAUUCAAGGUGAAAAGUUAUUGUAUGAAUUACCAAAUGAUGAAAUAAUUAUUGAUAGAAGAAGAAUGAGAAGUGCAAUUUGAGGCUUAAACUAUCAUACAUUUAGUGUAUGUUAGGAUUCCGGGUAAGGGGAUCGCCACGAUUGGACUAACAUACAUUUAGUGUAUGUUAGGAUCCCGGGUAAGGGGAUCGCCAUGAAUAAACUAGCAUACAUUUAGUGUAUGUUAGGAUCUCGGGUAAGGGGAUCACCACGAUUGGACUAGCAUACAUAUAUUGUAUGUUAAGAUCUCGGGUAAGGGGAUCACCAUGAAUAAACUAGCAAACAUUUAGUGUAUGUUAGGAUCCCGGGUAAGGGGAUCGCCACGAUUGGACUAACAUACAUUUAGUGUAUGUUAGGAUCCCGGAUAAGGGGAUCACCUUGCAUCGACUCCUUUGGGGUGAUGAUGAUGAUACCAGUGAAAUUGGUAUCGGUAAUGUGAUAAGCAAAAAAAAUAAUCAUGUUUGAUUAUAUAAAGUUUGGAAUGAAGGUUGAAAGUGGCAAAGGGAACAAUUAUUAAUAGUUGGAUUAGGAAGAGAUUCUAAUAAAAACUAGAAGGGAGAAGGGAAUGAACUAUGAAUGCAUUUUACCUUGUUGAAAUUGUUAGAUAUUCAUGUUGUUAUAUUUAAUGUAAUAUUCACCUUUCAAUAAUAUGUAUUUUGUUUCAGGAUUAUCGCAUGCAUGACAAGAGUAGAUUCUAGCUUAUGUUCCCUUAUUGUAAUCUAGGUUCUAGGGAGUAUACCCUUGAAUUUUGUAAACAUGAAAAUGUUUGUAUAACUUAAUUUGUAUAAUUAACGUUUAAAAUUGAUUGAAUGAAUUUAACCUUGUAGUUCAUAUAACCAUAUUUCAUGUCUAUGUAUUUAUAUUUAUUUAUUUAUUUAUUUUAUCCAUCCAUAAUGAUAUUUUGUUAUCUAAUGCAUAUCCUAAUUAUUGUAGUUGAUAGGUGUUAGUAUAAGUGUGGAAUUGAAACCCAGGAUGAUUGGAUCGGGAAUUAAGUUAUGAGAUGCGAGCUAUUAGAAGUGUAAAUAGAUUCCAUAUCAAUAACUUGAGACCUUUCGGUAUAGGGGGGACUCCAUCAAAAUUCAUGCAGAUUUUAAUACAAAGACCAUGAAUUAUUUAGGAAAAAAAGAAGAAAAUACUAUGUUUUUUUUCAAUUGACAUGAGAUUUCCGUUUUAUCUAGAAAUAAGGGAUGUUACAAUACAAGUUUAAUGUUUAGAUAGGAGCACAAAUAUAUUAUGAACUGAAUAUGUUUGUAAUGAUAUGGAAAAAUAUUGCAAUGAUAUGACACUAGUUUACAAUGACAUGUUUAACUGUAUUUUUCAAAAUGUGUUGGGUUGAGUCCCAUAUAGGGGAAGUGCUAUUGAAAUUUUGUUAAAAAUGAAUAAAUACACUAAAACUAAAAAAACAUAAAUCUUUGAUUGAGAUCUUAAUUGAAUAUUCUUAGCUAUUUAGAUAUAUUAUUUAGAUGUCGCAGAAACGUACAAGGUUAAAAUGGAGCGGUAUUGCAUUGUCAAGCAGUAGUGUUCCUAACCCUUAGAUUCAUUUAGGUGUCAAUCAUAAAGAGGAACUUGAUGUAUUAUCUAAUGAUGCUGGCUCAUCGACUAAUGGUUGUAGCUUUGGGUCCUAUCUAUCAGGAAUCCAUAUUCUGGUAGGUUAAUUGCGUAAUAGAAGCCAAAUUUAAACAUGAAAGAAAAUCUAAUUUUGUUUAAACAUUUGUAAUAAAUUAAUGUUAACGUGUUUAUAUAGCUUGGACAUAAUUAUUCCAUUUUCUAGUUUAUAAAUUUAGAAGCUGCUAGAAUAAUAACAUCAAUGAUGAAAGUAUUGCUAGAGGUGCCUUUAUUUUAGUAGAGCCAAUUUAAAGAUCCAGAAUGGAGGCAUGUAGCUGAUGCUUGGUAGGGGUAGUUCGGGGUUAGUAUGUAAUCAAUACUUUUAAUGGAUAAAAGAUGUUUUUCAAAUUUGGGAACUAAUUAUUUAACAAAAAUGAUUUCAAGGAAAUUUUUUUUGUGGGAUGAGACAAACUCAAGGGUGGAAAAGCAAGGUUAGGAAAAUCAUAACAACACGAGGUAAGUUUUAAUGUGUGAAGUAAAUAUUUUUUUUAAUAAAAUUUUAAUCUUUUAUGUCAUCAGAUCUUUUUUUAGUUUAACGAAUUUCUAAACCAAAUUGUGUGAUUUUUGGUAUGAAGUACACACCUAUGCUAAAAGAAGAGAUGAGGUAGAUAACUUUGGGGUGUGAAAGAAUUGUUAUCCUCCUCACAUCACUAAAAGCUACUAAGAGAGAUAUUUAGAGUUCUAUUUGUCGCUAUAGAGGUUUUAAGAGGUGUUCAUGAAGUGGGUCCUCAAACAGAAAUAAGGAGACUUAUGGUUUCAUUAGAAAGCAUACUAGUGUGUCACUUCCUUUUACAAAUCAUGCAAAGCAUCUAAUAAGAGAGCUGCCUUUAAUUUCAAGUAUUUUUCUAAAAAUGAUACCUAUAAUUUAUGUUUAACUAAUAAUUGAUAGAUUUAUUUUGUAAGCUACAAAGUUUGGACGCGAGCCUAAUCUGAUGGAGUUGUAUAUAAGAACAAAUAUAUGUAGGGAAGAUAAACAAAAAUGGGUGCAAUCGUUUGUCGAUAACUAAGUGAAGGUGUUUAUUGUAAGUAGACUUUAAAGCCUUUUUGUAUAUUGCUUGGAAAAAUAUUUUUUUAUCCAUUUCUCUAACUUGUUUUUCUGUGGUGUAGGAACAAUAUAACGCCACCAUGCAUGCAAAGCAUGGAGAGGACCCUUCAUCUCAUCUGGAAUACGAUCCAAAUUUAUGGUUAGAGAUUGAAGUAACUAGUAGACCCAAUAGGAAUUGAGUUUAUGAUAUUUCUAUAACUAUAGCUCGAGAUAUGAGAUUGAGUUGUAGUGUCUCGAAAGUAAACACCCCAUAAUCUUGCAAGAGUAAACUAUCACUUGCCAUUGAGGACUUGGUUGAACAACAAGUUGGUUCCUAAGAGCCAAAAUGAAGGCAAAGUAUGAAGCACAAGAAAAGAACUUGGAGGAGAUCAUGGCAAAGUAUGAAGCAUACUUCUCCAGUCAUUAUCCUCCCAAUGAAUCUCCAUGAGAUUUUUCUCCCCCUCCCCUUCCAUCUGCAGCUGGAGCUUGCAAUUGAUUUGUAUAUACAUUUGCAAUUGAUUUUUACAUUAUGAAAAUUUUGUUCUUCAAUUUAAUUGAUUUUAUAGACAACAAUACUUUUUUUUCUUUAAUUUAAAUUAAUUGUUUGAUGUUUUUAAUGCCAUUGAGAAAUUAUUUUAUAGCAUUUUUUCAAAUAAUUUGUUUAUAGAUCAAAAAAAAUUAUAUCGGUACAUGAUCAAUCUUUUCAUCGGAUAAUUACAAAGAAUUAUAAAUUAUUUUGAUCCACCUCGACAUAAUCACUAAUAAAAUAUGUUAUUAGUGAAACCAUCAGUGACACAGAAAUAUUACUAAUACAAUUAUCAAUCUAAAUUUUAUUGAUAAUAUUCACCAACUACUUUGGCAAGAGAUAUUAAUUGAUUUUUUUAUAAAAAAACCAACUAUAAUAGUUCAUCACUAUAAAUGUUAAUAUAAAAAUUACUGAUAAAAUUACCCCGGGGGUUCUAUUCAAGAGGCUCACUUUGAAGGAGUGAUAUCUAGCAAGUCCUCGUGGAGAAGAGGAGGCAUUCUUUUCCCAGCAUUUUGUGCCUAAAGGAGAUAUACCAAGGACAGCUAAAGCCCGGGGUGUGAUCUCAUAUAUCAACAGAUAAAACAAAAUACUUUCUAACGACAAGAUUUCAUCAUUAAAUCCAUCCGUGUUUUGAAAUUUUCUGUUCGACUAUAAUUCAUUUUACACUUGUUGUGUAAGACUGGUAGAUUCAGUAGUUUCCAAAAUGUCUCUAAUAUUGACUCUUAGGUCUUCCUUUUCACAUCAUAUAUAUCAUGCAUGCAUUUAUAGCACGUGUUCGGUGUUGAAAGCUUGCCAUGUCCAUCAAUUAUUGCUUCUUACGCGUUUACUUGACCCUUUGCCUUUUCGCAACUCGAAUGUAUUUGGUAUUUAUGGCCAAAAAAGGAAAAAGAAUCAACUUUUGUGCUGUCGAAAUCUACAUUAUUCAGCUUAUUUUCAGGCAGUCUGUGCUGUCGAAAGAUCGAAAAAAGCAAAUUUUGCAGUAGGGGCAUCAAGACAUGCACAAGCUAAUAAACUAUCACUUGGAAGAACUUGUUGAGGACAUGGCUAAUAAAAUAAGAGGACGUGAAAGAAAACAAAUGGCAACUUUCUAUAAUUGGAAAUUGUUUGAUCACAUUGCCUAGCUUGUUUGAUCACAUUGCCUAAUAAGAGGACCUGAUUUUUUUUUUAUCUUUUUCAUUUUUUUUUUCUCAUUUUAAUUACAUCAUUCAAAUUAAAUGGCUUAGUAUUACAAUUAUGGUAAAAUUACCAAAUUAAAAGAAAUAGGAUUGGAUUGUAAAACAAAGAAAAACAUAUAUGACUAACAUCAAAUUCAUGAUAAUUUUUAUUUUAGUUCAAAAGUUAUUUUCUUUUAUUUUCUAGUCUUUAAAUUAUAUAUAUAAAAAAAGAGAAAGUCACUUAAAAUUAUAAGGUGAGAGAAAGUUAUUGGUUUGACUACUUUAGAAUAAUGAAACUUGUAAAUGAAUUCCACUGUGGUGGGAUUUUUCUACAAACAUGCCUAAAAAAAAUAGAUUUUGUUUUAAAUUUUUUCUAGAUGAUUUCAUAGGUGAUUUUGAGGAUUUUUGAGAUUGGUAAAUGGUUUAGAAAGACUUUUGGUGUUUUAGAGGUGUGUAUAAAUUAUAUUUUGAGAUUUUAUCUAAUAACUUAAUUUUUUUAGUUGAGGUGAUUUUUUUAAUAUAAUAUCAAAAUAUUGUUAAUCAAAUGAUAUUUAAUUUUUUUUUUAUUUAAGAUUAAGUAACCACACAAACUCGAAUCUCAUUGUCUCAUUUUUUUCCAAUUAAAAUUAAUUAAUAAUUCAAGAUAACACGAGUUUAUAUAAAUUUUAAAUUCAAAAAGUUUACUUGAAAUAAUAUGUUAAAUAAUAAUAUAAAUUAUUUUCUAGAAUUUUACUGCUUAAAUUUAGAUAAAUCUCAGAUCAAAUAAAUAUUUUAUUUUUUUUAGAACUGAAAUUUAAUUGUCAUAGCACAAAGUAGGAAUUUGAGGUUCAAAUUGAAAUAGACUUGGAGAACUUGUAGGGGUACUUAUUAGAGGUUCUAACUAACCAGGAACGUUAGUUGGAAAUGUUAGUUAUGUGAACACAAGUCUUAGAAUGUUAGUUGGGAAGGAUGUGUUCAAAGUUAUUUUCUCAACCAAAACCGUACAAAAAAAAAAUAUAUAUAUAUUUUGGUGCCGUGGUGGAUUCCUCAUCCUCUCCAGGAUUGUCUCGUAUUGGCACCAGGAAUGUAAUUAGCUAUCAACAAGAUACGUGGCUCUAGCUAUGUCGUGUAAUGUAUAUAAAAAAUAAAUUAUAUUAAAAAAAAUAUUUAGAUAAUAAUAAUUCGAGACAACUUGAAUUAAAUUAAAUAAAAAUAUAAUUUGGGAUAUGAGAUCAAAAGAACCUCCAUAAAAAAACCGAAAAUAGAUUAUAUAUAUAUUAUAAUUUGGGUAAAGGGCUAAUAAUUUAACGUCAAAGAAUAAAAUUGUAAAAAAAAAGAGUUUUAUAAAAACAAUUGAGGAAAAAAAAUCUAAGACAAUUAUGGUUAACAUGACUAGGCUAUUACUUGAGAUAUGAGAAUGUGAUAACUUAAAAAAAAAAAGCGCAACAAAUAUUGAAUCUAAGAGCUUAAUAACCAAAUGACAAAUGAUUAUUUUUUUUAAAAUCAAUUUUUAAUAAAAAAAAACUGCUAUGUUGGAGGGUAAUCAUAAAAAAAAAACUAACAAAGUAAAAUAUCCAACUGUAAAAUAAUUUAAAACUCAAACAAUGUAGACCAAAUAUGGUAUAAAAAAAUGAAAGAAGAUAAUUAAGGGAUAAAUUGUAAAACAAAAAACUAAGAAAAUGAUAAAUAUAAAAGGUUAUUGAAAGAAUGAGAACCAAUAUUGGAUAAAAAACAAAAUAAAAUUAAAUAUUAAGUGAUAAAAUUGAAAAAAAAAAUUAACAAGAAAAUAAUAAGAAUAUAGCAAUUAAAAUAAUGAGGACCACAAAUAAAUUAAAAUUUACAAUAAAAUAAAAAUGGAUGAAAUUUGUAAGAAAAAAUAAUCAAGAAAAGUAUAAAGCAUAUAAAUAGAGCAAUUAAAAGUAGAGGGACCAAACUAUAUAUAUAAAAAGUUAAAUUGAAUAAAAUGCUCAAAGAUAAAAUAAAAAAAAAUUAAACUUCAAAAAGGUUCAAAAGCUAAAUAAACAGUAAUUAAAAAGAGUUUUAAAAUUGAUAAAAUUACAAAUUAAAUGAUACAAUUAUUUUUUUAAAAGUUCAGGCAUGAAAGAAAUGAGGUUGAUGCGCCACUCAACACCAUGAGAAUACAUCACAUCACUAGAAAAAAAAUGAUAUUCCGCUUCUAAUACCGUAAUGAAAAGAGGAUUUUGGUUGAUGUAGAAGCUCUCACACACCACACCACUUGAAUGGUUGAUGUAGAAGAUAUUCCGCUUCUAAUACCACUUGAAAAGAGGAUUUGCAUCUUGUUAACUUUAGAUUUGCCAUUUUCUUUGCUUGUUGCAGCUGCUCAAGGUCAAAACUUCUGUACCUUAUUGAUCACAUGAUAUAUUUCAUAGUUUAGGACAAACAAUGAAUCCGUUCGACCAAGUAAUAAUACAUCAAUAUAUGACACCAAAUAUCAUAUACCUGAAAUGAUAUAAACAAUAAUAAUAUACACACGCAGCAGGACACCUAUAUAUAUUAAUGCGGGAUUUAAUGUCUAAAUUAUAAGCUAAAGUAUAAGAUUAGGAAAAACAUACAAGUAAUCUGAUCGUGGAAGACUCGUUACUGAGUUUCCCCUCCAAUAACAUGAAUAUUUUGUAUCAACAACUUGCAAAUUUUCAUGAAAUAAAUGAAAGAAAAACCUUCUCAAACAUUAUGAUGAAAGAAUUGGAGGGGAAACUAUGACCCGCCACUAUUUUGAAGGCAUCAUGGGGAUGCUGAACACGGCUGCGUAGACAACAAGAGUCGACCACAAGACAUUUGGAAUCUUUGAGAUUACCAUAUCCUUUAUUUGUAUACGUGUUAGCGUAUCAUUGGGUGUUGUUAUUAUGUUUUCUUACAAUUAUUUCGACUUUACAAAUACAAAUCGUCUGAAUAAAUUGUGAGUAAAUAUUCAUAAAAAACUAGGUCAAUAAAACUAUUAAAUUUGAUAGUGUUUAUUUUAUUUAAAGGCAGUGGACCAUUUGUGUUUUUGGCUGACUUACCGGCGCUUCUAUUUAGAGGCAGCAACAUUUACAAUAAAAGUUUCACGUAUCAACCAACAUUCUCACAUCUUUCAUUCUAUCUUCAUAAGAAAGAGAGUGUUACAAAAUUAAUAUCAUUUUUGCGACAUGGGGGAUGAGGAAAAGCAGACACCUGCAACCCUUGAGAUCUCCAUGGAGAACGGAAAUUUAAAGGAGGAGAAAACCACUUCAAAUGAGGAGCCGGAGGUUAAAUACGGAGGAAUUAAAGCCAUGCCCUUUGUCAUAGGUAGGUUCACACACAACUUUAUAUAUAUAUUUAUGAUCCUUUUCUUCAUGAUCUAUACAUAUGUAAAACAUAUAUUAUAUACGUGCAGGAAAUGAGACCUUUGAGAAGCUUGGUACAGUUGGCUCUUCAACAAAUCUUGCUGUGUAUCUGACUACAGUUUUCAACAUGAAGAGUGUCACAGCCACCACACUUAUUAAUGUCUUUACUGGCACGACAAACCUGGCACCUCUGAUUGGAGCUUACCUCUCCGAUACUUACUUUGGACGUUACUGGACCUUGGGUUUUGCUUCUGUCUUUUCUUUCUUGGUAAUUCUUUGCCUUUUAACUCACCUUCUUCAAUUGUUUGAAAGGUUUUUUUUUUUUCUUUAAGGUGUUCAAUAAUGAAGUUAUUGUCGGAGACUGAUACUACUAGUUUUGACCCUGCAAAAAAACCAUAGAGAUGGCUUUAAGUAUACAGCUGCUACCGAACGGUUUCAAGAAUGAAACAAAUUAAGAGUCUAAGCUUUUCUUUAUGACAUUUUCUCAACAUGGUCUCAAGUUGAUGAUGAGUCUUACAGCACAGGUAUAUCUUGUUUUCACAUAAUAUGGAAAUAAAAAUGCAUUAUUCGCUUAAUAUAAUUUCAUGGAAAUUUGGAAUAUAUAGCUGUCACCUCUAAAGUAAAACGAAAAAAGUGUCCUAGUUUUAUGUUAAUUUAUUCAUCGAAUUACAGUGCUUUAUGUUACUUUAGUAUCUAUAGGUGUCAUCUCUAAAGGAAAAAACAUAUUCCUGUCUACGUGGAGUUCUUGGCAGUAUAAAUGCAGUCAUGAUAUAUAGAUUUCUCUUCUUUUUUUAUGUAUUACUGUGGCUGUUCUUUUGUUUUUGUUUUUGUUUUUUUUUUUAAAUCUAUGCUCCUGCUGUGGAUUACUGCUUAUCGUAAAAGAAAUCUAUGCUCCUGCUGUGGAUGACUGCUUAUCAUAAUAAUUAUUUUUAUGUUUUAGGGGAUGGUGGUAUUGAUGCUAACAGCGGCAAUCUCCACCAUGCACCCUCCAAAGUGCGCCCCAGGUGCUGUGUGUGCUGGGCCAACAAGCUGGCAACUAGCCUUCUUAUUGAGUGGGUUUGCUUUUUUGGUAAUCGGAGCUGGUGGCAUCCGGCCUUGCAACCUAGCCUUCGGAGCAGAUCAAUUCAAUCCCAACACUGAAUCUGGCAAGAGGGGUAUCACUAGCUUCUUCAAUUGGUACUACUUUACCUUCACUUUCGCCGUGAUGAUCUCGGUAACUGGCAUUGUCUAUGUUCAAUCAAAUGUUAGCUGGACAAUUGGUUUGGGGAUUCCUGCGUUUCUAAUGCUCCUUUCAUGUGUAAUGUUCUUCGUGGGAACGAGAAUUUAUGUUAUAGUGAAACCUCAAGGCAGCCCCAUGACAAGUAUAAUACAAGUACUUGUUGCUGCUACCAAGAAACGAGGCCUCAAGGUUCCUGAUAAUUCAGCUAUGUCUCUUUUCAACUAUAUUCCAGCCAAAUCUAUCAACUCUAAGCUUCCUCGCACAGAACAAUUUAGGUUAGAAGGAUCAAUUUCUGAACACCAUUUAAUGAUGACUAUUAUUUUAUACAAGAACACGAUCGAUAUGUUUUCUUUCAUAAUUACCCCUGCAGGUGUCUUGACAAAGCUGCAAUCAUUACAGAUGAAAAUCAGAUUAACUUGGAAGGUACAGCUACCAACCCAUGGAAACUUUGCAGCAUCCAACAAGUUGAGGAGGUGAAAUGCUUGCUGAGGAUAAUCCCCAUAUGGUCAACAUCCAUACUUUAUCAUAUUCCCUUGCUCCAGCAACAGACUUACGCAGUGUUCCAAGCCCUUCAGAUGGAUAGACGUCUAGGCAGUACCAGUUUCAAAGUGCCCGCCGCAACAUAUAUAAUCUUUACAAUGUUAACCCUCACCAUUUGGAUUCCCCUCUACGACCGAAUCAUCGUUCCAUUUCUUCAAAAGCUUACCGGCAAAGAUGGUGGGAUAACAUUGCUUCAAAGAAUGGGGAUUGGAAUGAUCCUAGCGAUUCUUUGCACGGUUGUUUCUGGAUUGGUCGAAGAAAAUAGAAGGCACAUUGCUUUAACAAGGCCGCCGUUAGGCCUUACGAACAAAGGUGGCGCCAUAUCAUCAAUGUCUGGUAUGUGGCUAAUACCACAACUUGCACUUUCUGGACUCUCUGAGGGUUUCAAUUAUAUUGCACAGAUUGAAUUCUACUAUAAGCAAUUCCCGGAAAAUAUGAGGAGUAUUGCCGGAUCAGCCUUCUUCGCGGGCGGUGCUCUCUCUAAUUAUCUCAGUGGUGUCCUUAUUUCUGUAGUCCAUCAAAUUACUUCAGGGAGUAAAACUGGAGAUUGGUUGGAUGAUGAUCUUAACAAAGGGAAAUUGGAUUACUUCUAUUACGUGAUUGCUGGUUUGGGGAUCCUCAACUUUGGAUAUUUUCUUUUGUGUGCCAAAUGGUAUAGAUACAAAGAUGCAGAUGAUAGCACAGUGGAGAUGGCUACAAAAGGAAUCUGAGAAGCAUAUUGCAUGAAUAGGAAAUGAAGCUUGAUUUCCCUGGAAUGGAACUACACUACCAGUUGUUUCCCUUCCCGGCAUCAACACGUCAAGGAGCUCAUUAGAAAGAAGAGCAAGAAAAAUGCAAGAAUUAUUAGAACCAUAAUAUCAUGGUAUGUGACAGAUUUCUUGUUACGUUUAAAGGAACCCUGGCUAUAAAACCUGUCAUCAAUAAAAAAAUUUACUGCUCCUAAAUGCAUGUUCUUGGAGUGACAUUGCUAGCUUUAUUCCUAUAAUGUUGGGUUUCUAAUAUUUUACAUGCAGUGAAAAUAAUAAAAUAAAAUUAUUUAAGAAUUUAUAAAAUCUUGUUAGAGAGAUUUAAAGUUAUAUAAGAAUUUAUUAUAUUAAAAUUUAAUCUUCUUUAAUUUGAAAUAAUUCUUGAAAAGCUGGGUUGUAAUAAACCAAAAUAGUUUAAUUAUCCGGUCUCCAACAAUAAUUUAUACUAACCAUCUAUGAGAAAUCUCCUGAAUCCCUAUUUAGGUGAGAUGGGAUAUGCAUAGAGUGUUAUCUUUCUGUAUAUUUUGUGACUUAUAUAGUUUUUUUGUCUAACAAAUAAUCCUUAAAAAAUAAGAGGCAUAACUUACUAUUUAUAAGGAAAUCUGAAAAACCCUAUAAAUUAAUAAAAUAUCAAUGUCCCCUGAAUAAUAUUCAUAUAAUAAUUCAGAAAGUUUUUAGAAAUUAACUUAAUCAAGUCUUUACUUGAUUUUUCUAGAUCUAGAAAUAUAAUCCUUGUAUUGAUUAUAUUAUAAUCCUUAAUUUCCAAAAUAUAUUUUAAUUAAGUCAUACUUAAUUAAACCAUCCUAAUUUAAUUUCUUACUAAUAGUUCUUAAUGUAUGUAACCAGUUAAAUUCUUAAUAUAUUGACUCAAAUAUAAAUUAUAAUUCUAAUUAAAUAGAAUUAAAUAAUUUAAUUUAUUAUCAAUUCAAUAAUUGAUUAAUUUAUAUUUGAAGAUCAGGUGUAUCGUCUAACAAUGUGUCAUGAUACUUCAAAUGUUAAAAAAGUCAUUAGUGGUUUGACUUAAUCUUUUAGUGACCGGUUUCUCAGUAUAAUUAAUAUUUUUUCAUCAAUAAUGUUCAAAUUUAACAUUAUAGCAUGAAGUAUGUAUGACAUAUUAAAUCAUGCUUGUUUUCUACAUAGUAGUCAUUGAUCAUUUGAAUAAGAUUUGAAACCAAUCUCAUUCCACCUUGGCCUAAUAUUUUUUAACAAUACUAUUUGAGAAUAAAUGAAAUAUUUUUCUUAAUUUACCUAGGAUGAUGAAUUCUAUCUUGAUCUCAAGUGUCUUUAUAUAGUUCAUGUUAUACUCAAUGUAUGUCAUUUUAUUACCGCGAUUAAAAUAACAUGUAAUAGGAUCAAAGCAUAACAUUCUCUAUAAAAGAUAACCUAGUGAUCUCAAGUUUAAGGAUCACUUAUAUAACCGUCAUGUAACCCUAUUCAUAGACAUAGAUUAUUUUUUCAUAUAAAAUUCUUAUACGGGUUAGUUUAGUGUUCAUGUUUUAUGACAAGCACCUACAUAUUAGUUCUAGAUAUCUCUUAUAUCUCAAUUUAUGAGAACAACUGCUUCUUUUCAUAAAUAAAAGAACAUAACAUGUAUCAGGUUUUAUGGCUCUAAUGAAUAUCCAGUAUUUAAGAGAGUAUCAACUAUAGAAACAUUUUAGGAACAAUACUUUGAUUCAAUAGGAAUAUCAUAAUUAUAACAACUUUAUAAUUUUCUUUGUAAAACAUUUUUGUCCUAUGAACCUUAUAUUUACUUCAUAUUCAUAAAUCAAAUAUUACAUUCAUUAAUAUGAUAUUAUAUAGAUAUUAAAGAUAUAUUAAGUCUUUAUUAAUAAUAUAUAUAUAUAUAUAUAAAUAUAAUAAUGUCACGUGUAACCAACCAAUUGGUUAUAGAGUAUAUUAAAAUAACAUAUAAAGUAUUUGAUUGUUUAUAUAACUAUUACAAAAUCUUGACUGUAAUCUAUAAUAUCAUGGAUUGUUGGAGACCUUCAAAAUAUCAAUAUCAACUUAAGCCAUCUUAUCCCAAUAAAAGAUCAAAGAAAGCAAGCAUACACCCAUAUUAGAAAGGAACUCAUGCAAACCCAAGCCUUUUAGGUAAAGGUUCAUAAGCGCAAGCACCAACCAUCAGGGAGGUACACCUGUUAACUGCAAUAGUAAGUGUGCACAACUUCUUGCUUUCAUUUCAUACACAUUAGCUCCCCUAUGAACUUAGUACACUUCUCUCUCUUUUUUUAUGUGAUUUUCACCACAUUCUUAUCUUUUUCAAUACAUUAUAUUACCCUUUCACAUUACAUUUAAGAAUGCUCAUUAUUAACCUUACAUAUAAGAGUUGUUAAACAUCUUGCAUAUAGGUAGCAUUGCUUAUAACUAACAAAAUAAAACAAUGAAAAGAGUUUGUUUGUAUUACUUUGAAAACAAUUGUAUAAGACUCAUAUAUAUACACACACCAAAUCUGAGACUCAUUACAAAUUUUAAAAUACCAUCAUAAUGACCUUCCACUAAUAUAAAAUUAUGAUAUGAAAACUAAAUAUAACUUAUUAUAUAUAAAAAAAAAACCCUAAGUAUAACUAAUAUUAUCUAAUAUUCCCCCUUGAACUUAAGGUGGUAAGGUUGACAUGUAACAUUCUUAAUUCCAGAAUUGGUCAAGGCAAUUAAAAUUAUUGAAUUUUAUAGGUAAUUGUUUUUAAUCUUGAUUUAUUUUACACUAUAACGAAAUUUCUACCAAAAUUUCAGUAAAACCUUAUAUUCAUCCUGCACAUAUCUCAUAUUCAUUCCAUAAUCAUCGUAUAUCUAUGUCACAUCGCGACCACAAUUAUUAUUAGUCACAUAAUAUUAAAAUCCAUGGAUUCAUUUCAAACAUAUAAUUUAUAGCACAAACUAAUAGUAAUAAAGUUGAUUGAUAACAUUAAUAUGAAAAGCAUAAAAUCCUAAAGGCCUCUAAGAUAAAUAUAAGGGAAUACUAAAAUUGUUCUAGUCACAUAAUUAUCUAAAGCAAAUACAACAAUAUCUGUUUCAUUUCAAGUUCAUACACAAGAAACAAAUAUGUUACCCCUAAGUUAUAUAAAAGGAAUUAAGAGCAUGAAAUCCCUAAUUCAUACAAAAGAAUUGGAAAUGCUAAUUUCCUAAUUCAUGCAAAAGAAUUAGACACUUAUGACACUACUCUUGAUAGGAAUGAGAAGAACCUGCAACAUCAAAAUAAAAGGAUAAUUAUAUUAAAUAAAUAAAAUACAAUAAAAUUAUGGAGAAUCACUACUACAUGUAUCUACUCAUACAGGUACCCACUUGAAAAGGCAUAAUCAUAAUUGAUCCGAAAAAGAAGAAUCACAUUUGACGCUUCUUUUACUACAUAUAAAGCCUAUCCUUUCAUAACCUACUUAUGGUUUUCUUUUCGAUUAUUACACAUUAAUCUUCUUCUGAUUUACCCAUUUUCUUAUCCACCCCCAAGUUCUGAGGAGGUCGUUGUCGACACUAAUAACUCCUAUAGGUGUGGGACACCUACCUGCCACCAAUGCUCGAUUUGCAUUCAUUUGUUGUAGUUGUACUCCCCCUAUGGUACCUCCUGAAUUCACAAGUACACCACAUUAGUUCAUGGCCAGUUUCCAUUUCGCAAAAAGCAAGGCAACAAUAAUAACAUUUACUCUUUACAUUUCAUUGUUUUAAGUCAUUACGCAUAUCAACUUCAUUUUUUGAAUGUGGUUUAUUCCCUACCAGUGUUAAGGUUCGAUAUUACAAGAAUUUUAGUGGGAAAGAAAACGGUUUCCUACCCCUAUCGCGGUUAUAUCCCCCCGUUUUAUUAAUUCUCAUUGAAUCUACCAGCAGGGGCGAUAAUUUGACCUUUCCUUAUAUAGUUACCUAUAUCCGGAGCUCUAGAGCUCUAAAUUGAGCGAGGUUGGUUUUGUUGGAAAGCUAACAUAUCAGACCACAGUUUCCAUGAGAGGUGUUUCCCAAAUUUUAUCGUUCUAAGGCCCGAAUAUCCUCUAGAAUGAGAGUGAUGAAUCUAUCCAAAAUUCCUCGAUAACAUAUCAGACCACAAUUUCCAUGACAGGUGUUUCCCAAAUUUUAUCGUUCUAAGGCCCGAAUAUCCCCUAGAAUGAGAGUGAUGAAUCUAUCCAAAAUUCCUCGAUGAUUCUCAAGUGAGCUUUCUACUAUAAUUGGUUCAUGCCUAAAAAAAAUACAUAAUACACUAGAAUUCUUUUUUUUUUUCCCUUUUAUUUGGCUCUUGGCCGAUCUUAGUCUAAGGGAACAAAGGAUCACCUUUUUUUUCUAGCUGAUUUUUUUCUUACCACACUCACUCAUUGUCUACAUUCUAAAUGUGCCAUAAGUGCUUAUUAACCCUAAAUUUUAGAAUCCCUUUCCUCCCCCAUUCUAUCCUCACAUGGUUGGCCAUUUAUGUUAGCUUACUAACCUCAUUCUAUUAAUUUUUGCAUUUCCCUUAAAUCUUCCUUCAAGAAUCCUAAUUUAUAAAAUAUGAAAUUUGUGUAUAAUUCCUAAUUAAUUGGUAACUUGUUUUAUACAAUCAAGUCUAGUAUCCAUACUUUUAGAAAUUUCAGGAUUUCAACUCAUGUAAAUUGAAGAUUUUUCCCCUCUUCUAAAGCCUGUAGUCGGCCCCUUCUCCCUAUUUUUCUUCAAUUCUACACUUGUUUUAUCCUUGUUAGAGUCCUUGUUGUUGGUUGUCAUCUCUAUUUGGAGGUUCUAGGUUUGUAUAAUCCUAGGUGAUUUGGUGUUUUCCCUCUAUUUUGAAGAAGAAAAUCUGCACUCUCCCCCCCUCCUUUUUCUUUAGUUUCCAGCCGGCCAUGAAAAAGGAAUGAAUGGGGUAUUUAUAGCCUUAUUCUUCCUAAUUAUACAUUGGUUCCUAUUCUUUCCUUUUCUUAACAAUUUGAGUCACAUUACUUAUGUCCUUCAUAUUUUCCUAUUUAAUUUCUUAAUUAUUACUUUUAUUUAUAAUGUAUAUGAUAUAAUUUUAAUUUUUUUGUUUCGGGAUUUUACAUGACACGACCUUGAGCUUGAAAACUAAAUCUUGAAAGGUAUCAAUAGAUAAGAAUUUUGUGAAAAUAUCUAUAAGGAUGAUAAAUUAAUGCAAUAAAGGAUAACACAUAGUACCAUGUAUAAUACAUUGUUGGAUAAUUAACAAUCAUUCUCUAUGUAUGUAUGCAUCAUUUGGGAACGUGGAGCAAACCGCGUUCCAUAAAAAUUCAAUUUGUUUUUGUUAAAAAUUAAUUUUUUUGUAUGUUUUGGAUUGUUUUGAUGCGUUGAUCUCAAAAAUGAUUUAAAAAAAAAAAAAACAUCAUUUUGAUAUAUUUUGGCACGAAAAGCACUUUGAUAAGCAACCGCAACCGAACCACACUCCCAAACAGGUUGUUAGUAUGCUCAUGAAAAACAUAAUUGUGAGCAGUUUUGGAUAGCACUUUGAUUAUUGUAGUGUUGCAUCAUAAAGUUGCAUUUCCAUACCUUUAAAAAGCUAAUGCAACCAAAGAAGUUAUAUUGUAGUAUCUUAUAAAACUUUUAAUGGAUGAGUUAUCGCAAACUAUAAGUCAUUCAACUAUCUAAUUUCUAACAAUAAUCCAUAUGAACCACAAGAUAAAAAAUUUCAAAAAACUCUUUUAAGAUAGAGAGGUUGUUAUGCCUUAAGUGGUAACUUUUUUUUCAAGUUGUUUUUGUAAUGUAUGUUAUGAACAAAAAACAAUAUGAGACAUAACAUUUUUUUUAUAGGAAAACCCUCAAAACUCUAUGAAUGAAAAAAAUUUCACUUUUCCCUCUAAAUAAUAUCACAUUUAUUAUUUUAGAAUAAUUUUAGAGAUUUAUGCAAAGAAGUCCCUACUUGAUUUUUUUAGAUUUAGAAUUAUAAUCCCUUAUAUAAAUUAUAUUAUAGUCCUUAAUUUCUAAAACUUAUUUACAAUCAAGUCUCAUUUGAUUAAUCAUCUCAUCUUAAUUAUUUAUCAAUGAUUAUUAAUGUAUGUGAAUCAUGAGGUUCCCUAAAAUGUUUUCCCAAAUGUAACUAACAAUCCUAAAUAAAAUAAGAUUUAAUAAAUUAAAUUAUAUAAUUUAUUAUAAAUUUAGUAAUUGAUUUAUUUAUAUAUAAGAACACCCUUUAGCAAUGUUUUAUGAUCCCUAAAUAUUAAAAAUUCAUAAAUGGUUUGACUUAACUUUUCUGUGACCAAGUUUUAGUGUAAUUAUUAUCUCUUCAUCAAAAAGUUUUUUAUUCGAAUAUUUGAGCAUGAAGUGUAUUUACUUUUUCAAAUCACAUUUGUUCUCAGCUUUAUAGUCAUUAAUUACUUGAAUGAGAUUUGAAACUCUUUUCAAAUAUCAUUCUACCUUAUGCAAGGAUUUCACAAUCAUUACUAUUCGAGAAUAUAUGGAUUGUUUUUUUUUUUUCUAAUUCAUCUAGGGUGAUGAAUCAUCUCUUAAUCAAUAAAAUGCCUUUAUAUAAUUUAUGUUAUACCUAAUAUCAACUUGUUGUUACCUUUGAUUAAGCUAAUGUGUAGUAAGAAUCAAGGCAUAAUAUUUGCUAUAUAAGAUAACUUAGUGAUAUUAAUUUUAAGGAUUACUUACAUAACUAUCAUAUGAGCCUUUUUAUAGACACAAGUGAUCUCUCCGUAUGAAAUUAUCAUGCGGGUUAGGUUAGUGUACCUAAGUUCUAUCACUUUAUAAUUUCCUUGCAUAUCAUUUUUAUCUUAAGAAAUUUAUUUAUUCUCUAGAUUUAUUAAUCAAACAUAAAUAAAUAUUAAAGAGAAAUCAUUUAUUAUUAAUAUAUAUGCUUUACAUGAACAAAGCUAGUAUCAUGUGUAGCCAACCGAUUGACUAUAAGGCAUAUACACUAACAAAAUCAUUAAAUAAAUAUCUAGAAAGGUAGAUAAAGAUAUCAUUAACUUAUAUUUCUUCAAUACAUUUGUUUGAGACUAUAAAAAUCUCAUAAAAAAGCAAACCAAAACAAAUUAUAAACACCAAUUUAAAAUCAACUAAAUAUUUAAGGAUAAAUUUGAAAAAAAAAUCAAUAAAAACCUAAUGUUAAAGGAUGAAAACAGACAAAAAUAAUCAAAGUAAAAAAAGGCUAGGCAUGCCUUAAGUGGUCUAGCAUGCCUAGCCCUUAAAAAAAAAAAACACAUGCGCAUGGACCAAUCACCCCUCUCUUGUGCCUGGUUUUUUUAUUUUUAUGUUAUAACGGAUGAAAAAUCAUCCACUUCUUUUUUAAAAAAAUGAGUGAUAGGUCACCUUCUAGGUUAUUGCCUAGAAUCCGAUCACCACUAUGGUAAUCAAAAAAUUAAGGGGGGUUUGUACUAAAAAUUCAUUUUUCAACCCAUUAUCACCCGGAAAAAAAAAACAUAAAAAAAGGCCAUAAAAACCUAUAUAAACCAUGCAAUAAGCCUAAAACACUCUAAAAUCACUCCAAAAAAUAAAAAUAAAUCGAAUCCCAAAAAUCAAAACCAAACCCAAUAUGCCUUACCUGCUAUGUUUAGAGAUAAAGACCACAUUCAAUGAACUCAUCUUGAUAAUAAGAACUUAUUGAUAUAAAGAUCCUUCCUUUUUUGUGCUCAGAUUAGGGUUAAGCAACAAUUUCAUCAUUUUUCGAUGAGUUUCUCUCUCCUCACUCAAACUCAAGAAUUGGAAAACAAACAAAAUAAACCUUUAGAAGAAAAUUAAAAUUCUAAAAACUUUGAUUGGUUAUGUAUUUUCACCAUGUUUUAGAUUGUGAUUCUCUCACUUUUAAUUUUAUCUUUGUACAAUAUUUUAAAGCUUUAUCUCAUGGAAUUAGGCCCGGCAAUGAUCAAAUCAAAGGAAAAAAAAUCUGAGGAUGAAAUUCUAAAAAGAUGGAUGAAAACAUUAAAAAGAAAAAAGAGUUGCAUCACAAGUAGAAAGGAAAAACCCCUAGUUCUUUUAGUGUAUUACUAGCAUAUUCGUCUGCACUUUGUUAUGGGUCAAAUUAUUCUUUUUCUAAACUUAAAACAAAUAUUAAGAGUAUGAAGAUUUUUUUGGCAGUAUCAUUAAAUCCAAACAAACAAUUUGAUCUUGAAACUUGUCAACCCAACUCCUUGUCUAUCUCGAGUUUCAAAUUAAACCGCAUGGGAGCUGAUCCAAAGUGAAUUACUUAAUUUAAUAGGUUCAAAAACAACUUAGAUGACCAGUAAAAAUAUGACAUAGCUUUUAAAAAUACUUUAAGACAACAAUUUUGUUUAUAUUGAGACAAUGCUAAAUUGGAUUGAUCUUGGUCACCCUGCGACCUAGGUUAUGGACUUCAAUAGGUUUAAUAACUUUAUUGUUUUUGUAAAAAAAAAAAUUUAAUUUUAUGAUAACAUUAGAUGCUUUCUAAAUCAAGCAUCAACCUAAAAAAAUAUUUAUUUGAGAUCGUGAUAACCCUAUAGAAAGUAGAAAAACAUAAACCACGAAUUACAUUUCUCAACUAAUUCAUUAUUGAAUAAGAGUGAAAUAAAAAAAAUAUUAGAAAACUUAAAGGACAAAAAAUAAAAACAUAACAAGUUUGAUGUGUAAACCUACUAAACCCGUGAAUUAGGUAACCCGAGUCAACAUAUAAAACCUGCAAACCGGGUACAUUGGAAUUAAUAACUUGUUAUUUUUUCUAAACCAUUGUUUAUUUAACUAUAUGAUAACAAAAAUAGAUGAUCGCAAAAUCGAACGUUAAACCAAUACUAAGACUUUUUUAAAAAAGACUAUGAUAAUCUUAUAUAAAAAAAAAAAAAAUAAUGAAACUCAAUUCUUAAUCACUCCAAUAUCAAAGGAUGAAAUUAAAAAAAGUAAAUUUAUAAAAAAAAGAAAGAAAAUGUUAAACUCGUCAUACCCAUCAAUAGGCCCAUGAACUUUCUAAAAUUUUAUAACAUGUUUUUUUUUAACUAUAUGAUAAAAAGAAAAAUAGGCAACCACAUAAUCGAGUUCAAUUAAAAAGAAAAAAAAUAAAAGACCCUGUUAAUCCCGCAAACUAGGGCAACCAGGGUUAUUUCGCCAAACUUGCAAACCAGGUUAUUAACUCCACAAAGUUUAUUAACCUAGUUUUUCUCAACUAAUUUUUUAUUUAACUAAAAUUUUUCUUAAAAAAAACAUACUGCAAUGCUGGGAUAAUUUUCUGAUACCAACAUGAAGCUAUGGUAUUUGUUUAUAUUGAAAUAACCAUCUAAAAAGAAAAUUAAAAUAAAUUAUAACUCUAAACCCUCAAAAAUAUAUCAUAUACGGAUUAAAUAAAAUAAUAAAUAACCAAAGUAAAAAUAAAAAAGGGAGGGGUCAAAAUGCACCCAAAAAAAAAUCAAUCAUAUAUAUUACUAUUAUAAUUCACAAUAUUAACGGGGGUAAGAAAACUAUGUUUUUUACACACCUUUUAACUUUAUUUAUAAUAUUAACCAAAAAUUAACCAAACUCUAUUUAGGCUACGGCUCCAUACGGGUAUAUCAUCAUCGUCACGAGAACAAGUAUAGCUUAAAGAUUGAGAUAAGAAACAAAGUAAAACGACACCACCACACUCGAUAUAUAAUAAACCAAAACCCACGCUGGUUUACAGGCAGUAGUUACGUGUUGUUUCUGACCCAGUUUGCACACUCCUCAAUAACUCAUCGAAGAUUUCUUGUGGUCUAUCUGAUAUUAGAAGUAGAAGAAAGAAAGAGAGAUGAAGGAUCAAAAGAGUGAAAGUGGUGAUGGGUAUGUGAGAGCAGAUCAAAUAGAUCUCAAGAGCUUGGACGAACAGCUGCAAAGGCAUUUAAGUAGAGCAUGGACGAUGGAAAAGAACAAAAGCAAGAACGAUGGAGAUCAAGGCGAAGGAGAAGGAGAAACGCAAAGACUCACCCAGAAUAAUAACAGUACAACCAUAACUACUAGGCAUGAAUGGGAGAUUGACCCCUCCAAGCUCAUCAUCAAAAGUGUCAUAGCUCGUGGCACCUUUGGCACCGUUCACCGUGGCAUUUAUGAUGGCCAGGAUGUUGCCGGUACGUAUAUCUAUAUAUAUGCAUUCCCUUUUUUGUACCUUCAAAUGUCUUCCCGAUCCUCCUCCUCCGGUGCAUUGAUAUAAUUUCCAAUGUGUGUAGGUUGAUUAACACAAGAAACUAGCUAUCUGCGUUUGCGAAAUUAAUUAAUGUCCUCUAUAUAUCUUGCUCUAAUUUGGUAUGCAGUUGCUGUUAGAAGCUAGGGAGGGGGUGUUCUCUGGCUCCAUUACAGAAAAUUAUAUAUUUUUUUGUCAAGUUUACGAUAAGGAAUUCUAGCAAAGAAUAUGCAUAAAUGUUGAUUAAUAGGAAUUCCCUGCUUGGUUUGCUGAGGAAAGCUUCGUAAUGAUGGCAGAUUCAGACCAUUAAUUUGUAUUAGCCAUCUCAUUAUUUGUGUUUAAAACCAGCAGUUUGCCGAGGAAAAGUGUUUUGCUUUCUCCAACUUGCGUGUUCCUCUUAAUAAUCCUGGAUCCUUGUAGAUCCAUGUUUGCAAAAAUCCGUGAUUUCACGAGAUUGUAUGAGUUGGCAGUUGGCUGCUGCACAAAAUAUUGCCUUUUCUUCUGUUUAUCUUUAACUUUCAUGUGUCCAAACUUAUUAUUAUUUAAUUAUUUUGUUGUCUUCUUUUACUUUACUCUCGGGAAAUUAAAAAAAAAAAAAGUUUGAGAUUACUCGGUAUAUAUUUUUCCCUCUCUUGUAUAAAAAACAGAAUUCAUAAAUAAUUUCAAUAAUAGAUUUCAUGUUUACGUGGAAGAGAAAUUCAACAUCGAACAACUCAAGUGAUAGAGCUUAGUUAUAAAGCCGCCACGUGCAUGUUCCAACUAAACACCAAAGAAAAUCCUUGCCCAGCUAUCAGGCAAACUGCUGCCUACUAAUUUAUCUAUUCACUUAUUAUUUCCCUCUAUUUUCUCAUGUAAAUUAAAUUGUGAGAUAAAAAAAAAAAAAAGCUGCCUUGCAUAAGAGGCUGUCGACAACUCCAGUCAUGAGCUAUAUUCCUAAAUUAAUAGUUAGUAUGUUAAGUGUUUUAUUCUUCCUCUGGCCCAGUUAAACUUCUUGAUUGGGGGGAGGAAGGACACCGAUCAGAAGCCGAGAUAGCUUCUCUGAGAGCUGCUUUUACACAAGAAGUUGUCGUUUGGCACAAGCUUGAUCAUCCUAACGUGACUAAGGUACGAUUUCAUUUCAUGUAUGACGUUCUCCUCUUUCUCAAGAUAAUACAAACCUAACAGAAAGUUUGAAAACAUGCAACCUUUCUUUGUUCUAUAAUUUUAAGAUUUAAAUCAAUAAGGUGAUAUCCUUUCUAAUGCGUCCCUCGUUUGGUUACUUGAUAGCUAAUUUUAAUGGAGAAUUGGAUAAAACGUAUAAAUAUGAUAUGCUAACGAGAGAAUGUUGGAGAUGUAGUGACAAUAGUAGUUGACGUUGUUGUUAGUUUUUAUUUUUAUUUCUGACAUUUCUUAAUGUAUUCAAUAUGUUUAUAGCUUAAUGUUUUCGAACAUAGUUUUUCCGGAGCAUUUCAAUUUCUACUUUCUUCAAGUAUAUCGUUAACAUCUUCGAUAUGGAGGUUUCAGUGUUUAGCUCAUGUUCAUAUCUUCUUGCUUUGAAUCAAGCCAAAUCCCUUCUGCAGUUUAUUGGGGCUACAAUUGGCUCAUCAGAGUUAAACAUACAAACAGAGAACGGUCACAUUGGCAUGGCAAGUAACAUUUGCUGUGUUGUUGUCGAGUAUUGCCCUGGGGGUGCUUUGAAAUCUUACCUCAUAAAGAAUAGGAGAAGGAAGCUUGCUUUUAAAGUGGUUGUUCAGUUGGCACUAGAUCUUGCAAGAGGGUCAGAUACUCACGUCCAUCUGUGUUUAUUUUGACUUUCAAAUCAUGUGGAUUUAAAGCUUACAUUUUGGAUGCUUUCAGUCUUUGAUAUUGUAGCAAACCAUGCAAUGUGAAGUUAUUGAAGCUGCCAUUUGGAACUACUUACAGGUUGAGUUAUCUCCAUUCUAAGAAGAUUGUCCACAGAGAUGUCAAAACUGAAAAUAUGCUUCUGGACAAGACACGUACAGUGAAAUUAGCUGACUUUGGGGUUGCUCGCAUCGAGGCAUCAAAUCCUCAUGACAUGACUGGCGAGACUGGAACGCUUGGGUACAUGGCACCAGAGGUAUAUCUUUUAGUUUUAAUUACAUGCUCCACGUAUUCUAAUGGUUGAUUGUCAGUGAAUCGCAACUCCUCAAGUUACUCGUCAAAUUUCCAAGCAUUCAUUUCAGUUUUGAUAACAUUUUUAUCCUAUCUAUCAUCCAAGUAUUGUGAUCGGGCAGGUUCUCAAUGGCAAUCCGUACAACAGAAAGUGUGAUGUGUACAGUUUUGGUAUCUGCCUGUGGGAGAUAUACUGCUGUGACAUGCCAUAUCCCGAUCUUAGCUUCUCAGAAGUGACAUCUGCUGUUGUGCGACAGGUAGAUGAAGUGUUUUAAAUGUUUUUUCUUUCUUUUACAGAAAAAUAUGUUGUAACGGCAGUACCUGGUUUUCUGCAAAAUUUGAACAUCACCUACUAGCAUAGAAACUAACAUCCAAGCCUUUUGGCUGUUUUUAUCUAGCUCAUCUCACAACCAAAGCUUUUAUGUCAAAUUACCACCCUUUUCUCUUUCUUUUAAUCUGGUAACAUAUCUCCUUUACCCCUCUCUCUGUCUCUCCAGAUGCUUAGUAGUUUUUUUUUACCAGUUAUUGGAGGCAAUAAUAAUACAGUGUUCAUAAUAAUUUUAACAAUCACUACUAUUAUAACAGAAUCUGAGGCCAGAAAUUCCUCGUUGCUGCCCGAGCUCUCUUGCGAAUAUAAUGAAGAGAUGCUGGGAUGCUAAUCCAGACAGACGGCCGGAGAUGGAGGUGGUUGUUUUCAUGUUAGAGGCAAUUGACACGUCCAUGGGUGGAGGUAUGAUCCCUCAUGAUCAGCCUCAAGGUUGUCUCUGUUUUCGCAGGUACCGAGGGCCGUGAAAAACUUCGUCCUUGAAGUAAACUUCGUCCAAUUCGUCUCAUGUUCUGUUCAAGACACUGGCUUAAAGAGCUGAGGGUAGAGUCUACGGAGACUAUAGGCUAAGAAGAGCCUUGCGAUACCGGUUUCUUUACUGGACAAUGGAUUCUGUAAAGCUUUAUUUAUGAAACUUGAACAUUAGUUCUUGCUCUGUUUUUAUGUUUCUUGAUCGAUUGAACGUUAAUAUGAUGGAUGGGCGGGCCCUAUACACCCUUUCUUGAUGAGCUUUUGAUACCCAACUAAUAUGCAUUAAUCAUAGUAGGCACAUGAUAGAUUUUUGUUUCUGGGUAUAUUUAUAAUCAUCGAUCCUAUCUUUUCAUGUUUCUUAAAAAGAAAUUGUUUUUUAUUUGGUAUAAACUAGUUUAUUGUUUGUGUUUUUGUUGCGGAUCAAGACCUUUUUAGAAUAAAAAAAAAAUAUUAUCUAGAUCUUAGAAAAAAUUUCAGUAUUGUUAUUAAAUUUAAUAUAAUAGUUCAAAUUUAAAAUCCUUUCAUCAUGAUUUUUUAUUUUUAUUUAGGUCGAGUUUUAAAUUAAAUUAUAAAAUAUACUUAUUUUGAUAUCUAAGAGACCUAGAUUCGAUUCCUGCAAUGGAAUUAUUUUAUUGAUUUUUCAACAUUAAUAUUGAAACUCUAAACAGGUUUUGGGAUUAUUGUAGAUUUUUUUUCUUUCAUUCUGUUUUAUGAGAUUAUAUAGAAGGACCUACACAAUAUACAUGGUAAUUAUAAUAUUAUAGGGGUGUGUAUUUAGAAAUGUGGUUAAAGUGUAUUUUUGAAAAUUUUUAAUUUUUUAAAAAUUAAUUUUUGUGUUUUUAGAUUGUUUGCACUGAUGUCAAAAAUAAAUUUUAAAAAAUAUUAUUUUAAUGUAUUUUCAAAUAAAAAAUACUCUUUUACAAACUUUCAUCGGUAUUGUUAUUAAAAAAAAACCCAUGUAACCAAACAAUUAAAAAGUAUAUAUUAAGCUGAUUAACAAUUCAUAUAAAUAAUUAAAUUGACCCUGAGCCUUUUGUGUUUUGUGAAUUCGUUCAAUUAACACUUAUUGUUAGUAUAUGCAGAUACCGCAAAACUUCACUAAGAACUCAUUACUACUAUAUGGUUUGUUUUUAUGGGUGUUUACGGUUCGGUUCGGUUUAGUUUAGACUUAAAAAACCAACCGAACCGAAUUACAGUAAUUUUGUAAAAUAUUAACCGGACCGGACCGAAAACCAGUUCAAACCGAAUCGGUCCGGUUCGGUUAAAUCCGGUUUUUUUGGCAAAAAACCGGGAAACCUAUUCCUAUUUUUUUUGGAUUUUUUUAAAGCUUACAUUAAAUUGAGCUUUUACCGCUUUGAAUUCACAUAUUGUUGCCAUGACUUGAUGUAAUGAAGAAGCCCAUAUAUGAUGAAAAAAUGUCGUGCCAAUUUGAAAAUUACAAAACUAUUAUAGAUUAGCAACAUUAUUGUAGGUUUCAAGAAUAUCAUUAGAAGCACUUAAUAGGGAGUCUUGCUCGUAAAUGGACAUUUUUUUCAAACCUGAGAGAGAUGAGAGAUGAAGAUGUUGGGUGGGGAGGGGGUUGUGAGAAAGGUUGAGAGAUGAAGAUGAAGAAGCUGCUCUUGCAGAGGAAUGAUGAUGAAAACUUGUUGUUCUCUUUGAUCCUCCUGUAAUGAAGUCAUUAUGCCUUCUUGCAAGGCUUUGGAUAGUUUAGUUAUGAUUUGAAUAUGGCGAUUGUUAUUGUGCUUUUCAAGCUACAAGUGUUCGCCGUUACUCAUUUCCCCGUGAAUUAAUAAUUUGCAAUUCAUCACCUCAAAAAAAAGAUGGGGGGUUGUGCUAAGACGAAGAUGGUUAAACAUGGGUGGCGGCUAGGGUUUAGAAAGUAUCUGGCGGAGAGUAAACUGGAGAGGAGAGAGGGAUGUGGCACAACUUUUUCUAUUUAUACUAGCCUAGCCUAGGGAUCUUUUUUUUUAAUCGGUCCGGUUACCCAAUUUCUGCACUACAAAACCGAAAACCGAACCGAACCGGGGUUUUUUCUACAUAAUCUAAUCGGUUUGAUUUUUCGGUUUGGUUUUUUUAGUUAAUUUUUUGUCGGUUUUAUCAGUUUACUCGGUUUAUCGGUUUUUUUGAACACUCCUAGUUUGCUUUAUACUUCAAAAUCAUUACAGAUUGACCUUUUGUAAUUCAGGCAAUAAAGGAAGGUUUUGUAGAGCAAAGUGUGAGGAUGUUAUUUCCAGGAUUGAAAGGAAGCUUAGGGUUCUUGGUUCGUUUCUUUUUCAAGAAGUUCAGGUUUCUACCGGAGAAGAAGAUGAGAAGAAUUAGUGCAUUAAUUGUAGCUUAAAUGUUUCGGUUCAUGGAAUCCGAAACGUCACACCUAACAGCCAAAGAACACACACACACACACAUAACAAUGCUUGUGGUCGAGGACGCAAUGCGAAGAAUAAAUAAAUUCUCAGGUGGAAAGCUACGAGUCACUGGAGAUGAAAGGUUGUAGUCAUAUAAUGAAAUCAACAGAAAACAAGCUUAAAAUCUGCUCAGGGACGUCAUUGCAAGUUGUCACCGAACUCCCGGAGGCAAAAUCAGGUACUGAAUGGACUAACGGGCAAUUUUAUAGCUUGGGUUAACCAGAUUAUCGAGGCCAGAAACCACUUGAAUGGACUCUAUGACGUCUCCAACCUUGAGAUCUGCUAAAUAAUCCUCAUUUUCCGUAACAUAACCAAAGACAGCAUAUCGACCAUCCAAUAUAUUUGCAUUGCUGGGAGUUAGCUCGCUUUCUUUUAGUAGCCAGAAUACUUGGCUUGAAGCUGAGUUGUUCUCAAACUCCUGUAAGAAAAAAAACCCAACUUCCGGUUAAUCUUUCAGAAUAUUGGAAUCAACGGUGAGCACACACGUGAGAGAGUUCAAAAAUCAAGUUCUCACAUCUCUGGCCAUGGCCAUUGUUCCAAAUGCAUUGAAUGGAAGCCUCGUCUGAGCCUUGUAUAAACCAAGCUCCUGUCAAGAAACAUAGCAAUAAUAUCAGAAAAUCUUAAAAAAUCACAUAUUUUCAGAAACAAGAGGGGAAAAUGAAAUAAACACACAAUAUAGCCUUCAUGGAAAAUACAAGGAAAUACCCAAAACUAAUGAAAAUUGCAAUUUUUUAUGUUAUAUUGAGAUGAGUAAGAAAAAUUUGAACAUUGUGGCACCACACAAAUUAAGGCACUUAUUCAGAAGAAUCUAUCGCCGGUACUAGGUAUACUUAUUUUUCAUCAGCUGCAAUGAGUGUUAAGGAGUAAUAAAAACCAUUUUUAGAGCUCCACUUAAUAGCUUAAGGUUUUUGAGUUAGGAUGGUUACUUCAUAUCGUAUUAGAGGAUGAUCAAACGGUUACAAUUUCAAAUCUCACCACAUUCAUCUAAAUAAAAGAUUUUCACUUGAAAACAUGUUGAAAAGUAAUCUAAAUCAUUUUUAGAGUUUCACUUCACAGCUUAUACUUUUAGGUUAAGAUAGUUAUUUAAUAAUGACCAUUAUGAAUUUCAAUCUACCGGAGUCGAGCUUUCACACAGUUAAAGUGAGCUGCAUGUAUUUCCUAAAAUUAUAAAUUGAUUGACCAAAUUCAAAUAAUUGUUUAGUUCAAGGUCCAUGGUAAAAGGCUAAAACCUUUUAACCGGAAAAGAAAAAAAAAAGGCAUGACCAUGCCAUGUGAGGGAUUAAAAAUUUCUUAGAACUGCUAAUUCAAGUGAGAUGAACACGAAGUCAAGUGACAGUCAACUGAGCCAUUGGGUAAAGAGAGCUGAAAUCAGACAAUAGAUUCAGUACAAUUAUAACAUGAAACUGGAUAAAAUAUACACCAUAUUAGAGACAAAAUGUGACGAAAUUAAGACUUCUUUCUUCAUGAUCUUUGUAUUCUUAGUCUAAGAUAUACGAGUGCUUGUGUGGGAAUGAGCAUUACCUCCAAAGUUGCCCCAUAGAAUGGUGAUUUCUCUCCAUUGACCAUGAUUUCCAACGGUAUUGUCCGAGUUUUCUCUGUACUAGGAUCAAUAAAACCCUCUGCGGGACCUUCAGGAUCCCCGGUUUGAACAACAAAGCCAUCCGCUGCAGCAAGUCCAAGGAAAUCUCAAAGGUAUUUACAUAAACAAAAUCUCAAACUAAUGGAAACACUUCCAAUUUAUGUAUGAUAGUGAUAUUACAUUGAAGUUAAGCAAUUUCAGCACCAUUUUGAGAGUACAAAUGAACACCCCUUAAUAUUUAGUAAUUCAAAUUUAAAGUCUGAUCCGGCUAGUGUGAAAAUAAUUAUAGUAAAAGACAAUCCAAAGGCAGAGUGAUUUAUAGUUGAGCUCAACUUUUUUCUUAUACAAUGUUUUAAGGCAUUUUACCUCUUUGAAUUUCCAUUCCAUCAUAGAAGUGUCGUUGCACCAAGUCCAAAAAGUUCCCAGCAGUUACUGGUGCAUUGUAACCAUCUAGAACAAUCCUGAACAUAAACUCGUCUGUAUUGGGAUUGUCUUUGACCUUGACCUUCAUAUCCACAGUUGCUCUUCCCUUCAAUAGAGGCAUGCUCUGGUAUUCCUCAGGCACCUCAUACGGGAAGCCAUCCACCAUAUCCUCUUCAACACUGCAGAAACCCAAUGCCCCAGGAAGAUCUCAGCUGCAGGUCAAUGACAAGGGUAUAUAUGAGAAUAGUUUUUAUCUUAAGAGGAUUAACUUUUUCAAGUCCUCAAUUUUUUCGUGAUAUGCAGGAGGCAGUUAUAAAAGAGCUACCAUACAUGGACACAUUCUCGUUAGUGAUCCAUAGCAACAUGAGAGUGGGAAAAACAGUGGUCACAGUAAGAACUUCAGCCUAGUAGAGUAUUGUUUUUGCACCGGGUGUAAUGGAAGAGUUAAUUCCGUUCAAUUUAUUUGAAUAUGUAUUGGAGACCAAAUUGAUGUCGGUGCAGCUAGAUGUAAAAUGUAAAGGGAAAGUAAAGGUUUGCAAUUAAGAGAGAAGGGAAGAUGCUAACAAGCACAAUCACAGGGAGAAUGUUUUGUGAAUUUAUUGGCUUUUGACCUCAAGUCAUGCUUUGCAGAUUAUCCAGAUUUUUAACCAACAUGGCAUAAUGCUAAUAUCAGCUUGCAAACCUUAUGGAGAAACAUCUAACAUUCCAGAAGCUCUAUUCAGUAUUCUUCAUGGCUGUUAUUUUAGAUCAAAAUCUAUUACUAGACUAAAGGUAUUGUGAGAAGCCAACUUGGAAACGUCACAAAUUCUUCGUGCCAGUUAUUCAAGAUCAGAUUCAGUAACAAGACUGAUGUUGUUAUCACCAGGUCGCAAACUACACAACGUUUCUCCAUUGCUGUUAUUCAACAUUAGAUUCGACAUGAUAUAAUGAACCACACACUCCCGCAAUUGACAAACACUUUGUUGUUUAUAACUUCAUCACAGCUUCAUAUUCUGUACAUCCAAAGGUAUAGUGCUAUUUCAUUUUAAAAUUAAAUGCCAAUUGCUUUUUUGAACCAACUAUAUUUCAAUUGUCAAUAUUUAUAUUUAGGAACACGGUAACACUUCACAAUCAAUCAUAUUGAUUUAAAAUACAGUGGCAUCCAUCUCAAACCAUUAGAUGCGACUGUAAUAUCACAGCAACAACAAAAUAAAAAUUGUUACGCACUAACAGAGAAAACAUAUGUCAUUGAAGUCCAACUGGAGAAACAUUUGUCCCUAAGUGCAAAUCAGGUCUUCAUGCACUUUACUCAUUUCGAAGUAAUCAAAAAGCUCAAUCCUUAGCAAAAUGAUUCUACUAUAAAAUUUACCUGCCAACAUAACUAAGCAACUCCUUCUGCUUAGGUGCUACUGCAUCUCUGUUCCGAUCCACCACAAUCUGUUGAAGUUCAUCCAUUCCAGUUUCAAGCUUACCAAGCAGCUCCACUCCAUGGUCCUUCUUUGAUUCAGCUAAGCCUGAGAUAAUCAAACUCUUUCCCUGCUUAAGGGCUUGAGAUGAUUGCCUGAGAUUCUAUAAUACUCAAAAAGAAAAUUCACAGCUACCAUUAAACCAUCAUAUCUCCGAAACAAGCAUAGAAAAGGAGGGGGAAAGGGAAAACUCGAGUUUUCUUACUCUCUCCACAGAAUCAAGUGCCUUGACUCCAGUGACCUUGAGACUAUCUGUGAUAUCUUCAAGCGGCUUUUGUACUUCCCUUAUAGCUUUAUUGUCAAUUGGCAGAGCAUAUCUUAAUAAUGCACCCGGGUCUUUGAUUGGUGGUCCAGAUAUUAACACUGAAAGAUCAGGCAUCGCUGGAUUAGCUGCAUAAGCAUUUGGAGACCAAUCUACAACAGGCAUUCCUGUUAGCAAUCCAACUGCCAAAGCAAUAGAGAUUGCACACUCCUUCAAGGAAAAUAACUCCACUUUCUGCACAAAAGAUAAAAUAAACUCAUAUAUUUUUGUAAGGCAUUGUUUGCUUCCAUCAGGAAAAGUUGGUCAAAUCAAUUGGUUUCCACGUCAACAAAUAAGUCAUGCGUUCUUUAGGGAAGUUUUCUCCUCUUCUCCCAGAGGACUCACAUGCCUCUAUUGUAAUAUAAAAAAUAAAAAAAAAAAACAUUUGCAAUGCAAACAAAUCACCAAACACUCUACUUAAAGCAUAAAAGCUAGACUUCAUCAAACCGCAAUAAUUGAGAGGCAUCAUAAAUUUUCAACUCUUUAAAAUCAACACCAUAUUCAAAACAAAAACAGCAAAUACCAGUUUAUUACGGAGCUGAGCCUUCUGGGAGGCUUUGAGAGAACAUCUGAGUGAGAGCUGCCGACCCCACCAAGCAGCAUUGACGUGGUUAAUGUUCCCCGAAGGAAUAUGGCUUCUGGGUAGUUUGGAGAUAGCCAUGGAGGAACAAUAGUGGCACGGGAUUAUGGCUGCCAUGGCACCGUAUCUAGUAUUCUAAAAAAAUAUCAAUCCAAUAUAGAUACUUAAGACAUAUAACAUCGCAAACUUGAUGUCUGGUAUGGUUUGCAAGUGAAAAGAGAGGAGAGUUCAAUAGAUAAGGUUUAGGGUGAGAUGAGAAUACAACAAUGUAGAUGCCAUCCUCACGAUACGGAUAAGAUGCCUCUUCUUUAAAUAUUAUUUAAAUGAAUUUAUUUCAAUUUAUUUAUUAUUGAAAAAAGCAAACAUUUAGGCACAAAUAAAUAAAUGAUAUUGAUUAUAAACAUUAAAUAAGUCUUUAAUUGUUAAUAAAUAAGAACAAAUCUAAAGGAUAUGUAAUUUUCACUAUUGAGUUACUCCAACAGGUGAAAGGAUUUACCGUAUAUUGUAAUAGUUUUGUUCUGUUUUGUCUCUUUUCUUCGAUUUCAAUCAUUAAAUUUGUUUUUCCAGAUUCGUCCUACUUGUAUUUUAUAAUCUGUUUUGUUUUAUGUUUUAUAUUCUUAUCAUAAUGUCAAAAAUUAUUUUCACAUUAGAUUAAUACUCAAAUUUACAGAAAAAAAAUUAGUUACAGUGAUUAAAAAAAAUUAGAGAUCAAAUUUUAAAAUAAGGCAAAGAAUGAAUUUUUUUUCUUAAACCAUUUUUUGCCUUAAGAAUUUGGAAAAAACAAUUUGGUCCCUAUUGUUUCCCAUUUUUUUUUUAUCAUUCAAAAUUUUAUUUUAUUUAUUAUUUAGUUCUUGUGUUUAGAGAUAAGAGAGAGACUCGUUAAAAAAAUACAAAUGAUAGAAAAAGUCAUUGGUUAGCAUUAUUAUAUUGAUAAAAAUAAAUUAUUCUUGAUAUUAAAGAAUUUUUUGGAUCAAAGAAAAGUUUUAUUGAAAUGUUUUUUUAUUUUUAUUUUGCUAUAAAAACUAGAUUGGGUAUUGGCAAGAUUUUUAAAAUCGAGUUAUUUUUUCAUUUUCUCAACAAAAUAAAUGCUCUUUAAAGACUCUUAAUGGGUUUAUUAAUGCUUCUAAAGAUUUUUUUAUAUGUGUUUUUACUUGAAAAUAGAGUUUUAGAAUCGUAAUAGGAAGCCGACUUUCUCACCGGAUGAGGUGGCUCGAAUUGAAGUAGAGAUAAUGCAUCAUCUGCAUAGUCUAGUUUUUAAAAACAAAAACAAAGAUGCAUGGACAACAUAUUAUCCAUCCAACUUAAAAAAAAAAAAUCGGGUCACACUUCCUCUGUUUUAAAUUUAUUUUUAAAUGAGAUUAUGAUAAUUUUUAUAAUAUUAAUAAGUGUUUUUUUACAACCUUUUAUGAUUUUUUUAAAUUCUUUUUCUUAAAGUUUGAUAAUUAAAAACUAAUUAUAGUUGAAUAAAUUAAAUUAUAUCUGGUAUAUUAUUUCAUUAGAUAUCAGUCAAUUUAAUAUUAAUUUUUCUUGGCUUUUCUUAUGAUGUUAUCAAUUAUCUCAUUAAUUAUUUUAGGUGAACCUACUAUGCGGUUUUUAUUUAAUAUUUGUGAUGUAAUGAAAAUGAUGUCCAAGUUCUUAUAGUUAUAAAAAAUAUUCUUCUUUGAAGUUCUUUAGCUUUUUGUUCAACUAAUUAUGGAUCUUAUAAGAAAAUAUAUUUAUUGGUAAAAAGAAAACAGGAAAUAUUACAUGAAUCAUUUUGAAAAAUAAAAUACAUUUUACUUCAUGAUUGUAUUCAUUUUUUUUUCUAAUGAGUACUUUUUUUAUUAAUUAAAAAAUUAAUUCUGGAAAUUCUCCUGUUAUGGAUACAUGCAGUAUAUCAUUCUUUUCUUUUUUAAUAUAUUCACAUAAAAAUAUCAAAAAUAUAUAUUUUUUUAAAAUUAUCAUUUAUGAUUAUGAUAAGUUGUAGUUUAUAAAAGAAUUAUUUUGGUGAAAAAAAAGCAAAAAAACAAAAAAGAAGUGUAUUAAUGACAUAAAGAAGUUUUUUUAGUUGAUAGGGAAUGUUGUUUUUUUUUUUUUUUACAUUAAAUAACUAGAAAAGAAAGUGAAGACCAAUUUGAAACAUUAAAUAAAUCUUAACGAGUGCCAUAAGAACACUAGUUAACUAAAACUUUAUUUUAUUAGAAUUUAACCCAAGGAGAAAAGAUUGUUCGACAGCAUAUUUUCAUCAAAUAAAAUUGAUAACAUGACAAGGCACGAUGACCUUGCUGAGAAAUAUGCCUUGUUUGUGAGAAUGUGAGCUCUCCUCGAGUCAUCAACACUAUACAUUUCUCGCUGUUUAUUUCCUGUAAAAAUGAUUUUUAAAAAAUAAAAAAAUAUUAUUAAUAUAUAUUUAUACAAAAAACAAUCGUUACCACACUACCAAACACGCUCAGUAUCAAACCCCACCAUUCCUUCUCCGACAGAAGCAUCACCAGGUAUUCCACCAAGCCAGCACAAAAAGAAAAACACUUUUACUAUUAGGAUGUUUUACGAGGAAUCGAGGCAUGGAUUUAAGGCAUGUUUCAAUGUUGUAGAAUGCAUGGUACAUAUCUCGAUGAUCACAGUGAAGAGAAAGAGACUGGUGAUGUUGACAGAGAGAUUUGGAAAAAAAAACAAAGGAAAUCACAGUGAAGAGAGAUGUAUGGGCAGAGAGAGGAUCAUGAGAGGUGGCCAUAACGAGUUAAAAGAAAAAAUGAUUUUGAUGCAAGUAUUUCAUAUUUUACUUUUAUUUUUUUCUCACCCCUCUAAUCUUCAUUAAUGGCGAUGUUAGCAGGUAUUACAGAUGUUAUGGUGUUUUCUUCUUUUUUGGUGUUUCCUGUGUUGUUUGCUUGGAUGUUGAAGAAUCGCAGGUAUUUGGUUCUAUUUCUAAAAUUUAUUCCUCUUUAUCUAUCCAAGUAUUCCCCCUUCCCUCUGAUAUUUUUUAGGCUUAAAAUCUUUGUGAUUCUUUUUUGUGUGAGAGAUGUUAAUGGACGGGUGUUUUUUUUUUUUUUAAUGAUGGUUGUUCAUAGCAAACAAAUCAGUUGAUUCCUAAGUUCAUUUUGAUAUUAUUUGUUAAAUUAAGAUAGUUUUUUCAAAGAAUCUCUAUGAUCAUCUUUGUUUUCUUCUUCAUUUUCCCUAAAAUUAGAUGGCUUGGUUGGCUUCAAUGACCUCUAACUUGCCAUAAUUGCCACAAUUAAUUUAUAAAAAGUGCUUAAUCAUUUUCUACCACACUUCAGUUAUAAAGUUCCAAACUUUUUUGUAGAAGCUUCAAGAGCUUGUUAUAUAUUUAAAGAGCAGGAAAACAAAAAGAAUAAGUGAGAAGAAUCAUUUCCUUACAGAAGAAAAAAGAAGAAGCAGGAAACGGGAAAGAAUCUCUUAUAAUUUAGUUUUGAAAAACCACCUUCAAACUCAUAAAUAGUUUUAUAACUACCUAUCAUUUGAGGCUAUUAAAAAAAUAAAAAAUAAAAAAGGGAAAAAAAAAACUUACAAGAUUAUAUCACCAAAAGCCUUUUUGAUAAAAAGUCUAUGAAAUAUUAAUAAAAAGUGGAAAGAAAAAGAUAAAAAGCAAAGCUUUUGAGUCCAAGAAUGACAGAGAAAGUGCCAAAGGAUUAGAAGUUUUAGGAAGGUGCACAAAAUUCCAAGCAAAAAAGACAACAUUGUUAAGUUAUUCCUUAAACUUUAAUGAGUGGAAGAAGCUCAAUGAGCAUAUCUUCUCCCCUCUCAUUCCACUUACUAUAUGUUUGUAUUGGAUGUUCAUUAUACUUUUUCUUUUCAUCUAUUUGUUAUUUUAAUGCAUUCGGUAAACUUAUUUAUAAAUCCCUUGCAUGUUUUUCAAUCAUUUUAUUUAAUAUUUUAAUUGUAAAUUUAUAUUAUAAGAUACUAACUCAAUAUUAAAUAUAUUUAUUUUUUCUUCAAAAUUUUAGAGAAAAAUACAAAAAAAUAUAUAAAAAUUCCUUGUGCCAAAAAUACAUUUUUUGUGUGCAUACAAUCAAAUUCUAAAUUUUUCAUGCAUAUUUCAUAAAAAAUUAAAAAAAAAUACAUUUUUAUCAUACUUGAAAACAUAUGAAAAAAAAUAUAUAUUAAUGGGUAUCACAACAGACUUGUAAUUAUCCAUUAGGACUUGGCUAAAAUUUUAAAAGUACCAUAAAAAUCAAUUUGUUUAAUUAAUAUUUAGGAUAUGAAUUUUACAAAAUAAGGCAUAUUCCCGGUACUAAACUAAAUGAAUUGACAAGAAUACAAUUUUAAUUUUUUAGGCUUUAGUAUUGUUAGGUUUUAGCCUAAUAAGAUAAAAAUUUACUUGCAAAAGAUAACUUUUCUUAAACCUUAGACAAAUCAAAUAAUAAAAACAUGUCUCGGAUAAAUAAACAAUGCAACUUACAUUAGAUAAAGUAUACUAGAGAUGAUACAUCCUUCCUAUAUUCAAUUAGUCUCUUUAUCCAAACUAUGAGACUAGUUAAAGUUCCUAGUAAUCAAAAUACUAGUUGGCGAAUUUAUUAUUUUUUUACUGAUAAAGAAUAAUAAUUUUUUGUUCUUUCCACCUAAACCAUGAAAAUUCCAAUCUAGAAGGAUAAUCAUCACAACUCCGUACAUAUACGAGAUCUUUUAAUGCAACUUUGUAAAUAAGGUUUAAGAUCUUAUUAUACAAAGAAAAUAACCCUAAUUAAUGGCCAUGAUUAAUAAGAAGUCCCUCGUUUGAAAGCAAAUAGAAUGGAACUUUGUUGCUUCAGUCAUUUUUUCCAUUUUAUCCAAGCUGUUAAAAGUUACUUUAUCUGGUCCAAUUUUAUUCACAACAUUGAGUAUAUAAAACAAAAUACACUAAAGUAACCACCAAGUAAGGGCUAUAGGAUUCACAAUAACAACAAUUUUUUAUUUUGAAAUGAGAUCAAACACCAAUCCAAAAUGUAGAUCCUUACAGGUCAUAUACAUUAGGGAAGCAAUAUCCAUUGAGGUCUCAACCCUUUUGAUGUUGGAGGGGAUAUCUUAAUAAUAAAUAUCAUUUUUAGAAAUAUGUCUCAUUUGUACUUUUUAUUAUAUCAUAAUAAUAAAUAUUAUCUCUAGAAACAUGUUUCUUUUAUAUUUUUUUAUUUUAAAAAUAUAAAAAUUUACUCUAAAAUUAUGUUAGUGAAUAAGUUAUACAGCUAAUCAAUUGGUUGUAUAUGGUACUGAUUUUAUUAAUGUAAAAAAUAUUUAUUAUUAAUAAAAGUUUUGUAUCUUUAAUAUUAAUUUAUAUUUAAUUAAUGAAUAUGAUAUUUAAUUAAUAAAUCUAAAGUAAAGAUAAAAUCCAUAGGAAACUCUAAAGAAAAUUAUAGUUAUAAUCAUGACAUUCCUAUUACAUCAAAGCAUUUUUUCUAAUCAAUUUUUUAUUAAGAUUAUAUUAAUUAGAGUUGUUAAGACCAAUACAUAUUAUAUUCAUUUUAUUAUAAAAAAAAACAAUUACUCUCAUAAGUUGAGGAUGAAGGACACUUAUAACUAAAAUAUAAAUGUUUGUUAGAUAAUAUUUUUAUUGAACUGAUUUGCAUAAGAACUUCAUACAAAAAGAUCACAUAUUUUAUGAAAAGAUUCACAUUAUAUUUGUGUAAAAAAUUCUUAUAUUUAAUAUCACUAAGUUUUUUUUAUAUAGGAAGUGUUAUGUUUUGAUAUUGACUACACGUUAUAAUAAAUAAACAAAUAUCAAGCAUAUCAUAAACUAUAUGAAUAUAUUUAAAUACUCAAGAGAGAAUUCAUCACCUUAAGUGAAUUAAAAAAAUAUAUUUAUUCUAUUAUCAAAUAGUAUUUGUUGUAAAAUCCUUAGCCAAUAUAGAAUAAGAUUUGAAAAGAGAUUCAAAUUCUAUUUAUAUAAUCGAUUACUAUAAUGUUGAGAACAAAAAUGAUUUAACAAAACAAAUAUAUUUCAUGUUAUAAUGUCUAAAUCAAAUAUUCGUAAUGAAUGAAUAAUAAUUACACAAAAAAAUUAAUUACUAAAAAGUUAAGUCAAACUACUUAAAACUUUUCUAAUAUUUAAGGGAUCAUAAUAGGUUACUAGAUAUUGUAAAACAUAAAUCAAUUAUUAAAUUGAUAAUAAAUUAAUCAAUUAAUUUAUUUAAUCAUAUUUUAUUUGAUUAUGAUUUUAUUUGAGUCAAUUUAUUAUGAAACUUAAUAAAUCACACACAUAAGAAUAUUAUUGGUCAAAAAUUAAAAUGAAAUGAUCAAUUAAUUGUAAUUUAAUUAUAAAACAAUUUUAAAAAUUAAAAAAUAUAAUGUGAUUAAAUAAAGGAUUACAAUUCCAAAUCUAGAAAAAACAAAUCAAGUAGAAAUUUAUUAACUUGAUUGAAUAAAUUUCUAAAAUUAUCCUGAAAUAAUAUAUAUGAUAUUAUUUAAAGAGAAAAAUGAUAUUUUGUUGUUUAUAAAAUUUUCAAGUUUUCUCAUAAAUAAAAUAUUAUGUCUCUCAUUUUCUGCAUACAAAGAAAAACUAUAUUAAUUACAAAAACAACUAAAACACAAAAGAAAAUAAAAAGUGUAGCAAUCUCUUUUUCAUAAAAGAAUUUAAAAGAUUUAUCACUUGUAAUUUAUAUGAAUUAUUGUUAAAGAUCAGAUACUUCAACAACUUGUUGUUUGCUACAAUCUAACCUUAAAAUAAUUAUUCAAAACAAAAAUAAAAACAUUUGAUCUUUAUCAACAUUUUAUAUAACAUUUUAUAUAAACCUUAAACAACUCUAGAUCUGUCUAAUAAAAUCCUUGGAAUUCCUAAUAAAAUUUUAAAUUUAUUGUUUCUGUUUAAUAUGUUUUUUUAGAAACCUAACAAUUGUAUCAGUAAUAGAUUUAUUAUUUAUGUCUUCAUCUCUCUCUUCAACCAAAUAUAUUUAUAUAUAUAUAUUUUUAUCUUGAGAUAGUAAUUAAACGGUACAAUAGCGUUAACUCUUUUUAUACCAUGAGAUUUGGACUCGGGUUACCCAUCGUAAACGAUAAAUUGAAAUGCAGUGUAAUAAAUGGAAGAACAAUGAUUUACAAAUAAACUUCUUAUACAAUCUGAUGUGUUAAAUUCAUUAGUUGUAAAAUCAUAAAUUUUAAAUGAAUGGCCUCUUAUAUAUAUAUAUAUAUAUAUAAAAGUAGCUGACAUAUGUGUUUGUGUGAGAAUUUUGUAUUAAAAGUUUGUAUAGCAUUACGAGAAUGGAAAUGUUUCCAACAUAAAAAUUAAUUCCAGGCGUGUUGCUAAUAUGCUCAAAAACACGAAAUAAGCAAGUAUGCAACUUUCAGUGUAGGGCUGGGGAAAUCGUAAUCAUUUUAUACAUAUAUCCUCCUCAUGAAUGCAAAAAGCACUUAGAAUCAAAUUUCUACUUACAAGCAGAAGAGCAGAACACCAACAACCAGGACCAGUCAUCAGAAUAUUUUUUAUUUGAUUUAGCAUCCAGCAAAAAAAAAAAAUAUCAAAAUCAAAAUGAAAAGCACAACAAGCUUUGAUCAAUGGCUAAUGAGUAGACAAGAAAAUACCUUAAGAAUUAGCAUCCUACAAGAGAAAGUGCCUUCAAUUGUUACAGCGUUCCAUCCAUCCAUCCAUGGCAAAUCCACAUUAAGUUAUGAAGGCAGCAUACCCAUCGGUGCAUCUGAGAAUUUUCCCUUCUUAUUGCGCCAAAGCCAUAUUUUGGAUACAGAGAAGCUCUCACCCUGACUCAAGCUACUGAUCUUGUUUUCCUCCAAAUCUCCAUCAACUGAAAGAUUCACCUUCUGUUCGGUCCCUCCGGCAGGCUUGAUAUCACGACUUCGCCGCUCAUUGCUUAAGCCAACCCUGAGGUCUGUAUCACCGAGCACAUACUGAUACGAACCCAUUGAAAAACAUCUUCUAGCAUCUAAAUUACUGCUACUAGUUUCUCCUCCUGCCUCCCCUACACCACCGUUCAGCUUCCUGAAUUUACCGAGUCUCACAGGUAACACCGCCUUGUCAACAACAGUACCUUCAAUUUCGCCAGUCUUUUGACUAGGAAUGAAAACAUUAUCUCCAUCACCGGGACACUCAUCAUCCUCCCUUAAGUCAUCGAAAUCAAACAUUGGGUUUUCCAUUGAAAACCCAGCUGUAUUGAAGAGGGUUCCCCUGCAAAGAGGACAUGUUGAGUUGGAUAGCAGCCAAGUGUCGAUGCAGUUGAUAUGGAAAGCAUGGCUGCACAUAGGAAGCAAUCUCAGCUUGUCUUUCUCAGAAAAUUCACAGAGGCAAACAGGACAAUCAAAUGGCUCUUUUGGACCCACAAUCUCUUUGAACUGAAAAACAGGAAGGGCAUCUAUAAAAGCUUGAUCCAGACCAGAAUCAUGGAGAUGGAAGAGCUGCUGUAACUGUCUUUGAAGCGCAUCUGAACCAGAUAUUUCAGGGUACCUAUUAGAUGGGGAGGAAGCUGAAGAAGUUGGAUGUUUUAUGAGGAAUCUAAUAAGCAAAUGGAGCAAACCAGAGAUGAAAAAUAGCACAGCAAGAAUCACUAUAACGAAAAGAACAGCAGGGCUAAUUCUAGAACCAGAAGAUGAAGGAUUUGAAUCUUUAUGGAAAACAGUAUUAGUUGUAGAUGGGGAAGACAACGAGGAAGGAGGAAGAGGAGGUGGAUAAUCGUUUGGAACCCAUGACGACAUCUUCAAAUGGCUAUGUUCUUCCAUCAACCAUCUUCUCUUUUUGCUUCUGACAUCCCUCCCAAAGAUCAUUUUCUCUCUUACCUAUAAAAUUCAAAAACAAACCCAACUCAUCUUUCAGACAAAAGUAGUGUUCCUCAAAUAUCUUGCUUUCUGUUUCACUUUCGCUCGCUCGAAGGUAAUAGAAGCAGCUAGUAGGAGGGUGCUUUAAGUAAAUUUUGAAAAGGAAAAGAAAAAAUUGAAUGCUACUUUGUAUGUAUCGUACAUCAAGAAGUAAAACCCUUGGAUAGCAUUAACAUAGAGAACAGAAGGUUGAAAACUUACCAAGCUUGAUUCUGUCAGUCAUAGCAGUGAUAAUUAAAACCCUAAAGGGAAAGUGAAGUGAAAUGAAACGUGGGAAGCAUCUGCUUCUCUCUUCCUCUUUCUCGAGAAUCACUCUCUGACCAAAUUUAUUAGAAAUAACCAAAAGCGAAGCAAAGACGCAACAGUGAGGUUGAUGGUGGUGAUGGCAGUGGCAUUCAUUUCAAAGCGCGAGUUAAAGGAUGCCAAAAAGAACUGGUCGGGACCCACGUGUCUUUCAAGGCGCGUGAGAUCUUAGCAGGUCAACCAGAUGCGAUAAUUAAUUGUCCCAUAUGGGCUUCUUAGCGGGCCUCUAAGCCGAGGCUUCGAAGUCUUCGCUUCUGGAUUAUUACACCACCAUGUGUCAUUGUAAGAAAUUCAUUAUAAAACUAUUGCUUAUUUUUAUGUUUUUGUUAGUUUUUUUUUUUUAAUAUCCCGAGCAAUAAUCAAACUCUGCAGGAAGGAAUGAUUAUUGGAUGUAUAGUUUAAUCUUAAUAAAUUAAUAUUCUCAAUUAAUAAUAUUUUUGACCGGUUAUAAAUUAAUAAUUUAUUAAAUUUAUAAAACAAUACAUUGAUUAUGCUUAAUAUAUAAAUUAAUAAUACCCAACCUAAUCAUACGAAGUAAGGGAAGUAAAAGAAUUUUUUUUUUUUUUUUAAUAUCCCGAGCACUAAUCAAACUCUGCAGGAAGGAAUGAUUAUUGGAUGUAUAGAUUAAUCUUAAUAAAUUAAUAUUCUCAAUUAAAUAAUAUUUUUGACCGGUUAUAAAUUAAUAAUUUAUUAAAUUUAUAAAAAAAAUACAUAGAUUAUGCUUAUUAUAUAAAUUAAUAAUAACUAACCUAGUCAUAAAGUAAAGGCAUCAUUAUGAUUAGUUAUGAUUUAAAAUGUUUUUUAUUUAAAAAUAUAUUUAAAUAAUUUUUUAUUUUUAAAAAAUUAUUUUUGAUAUCAAUAUAUUAAAAUAAUAUAAAUAUUAAAAUAAUAUAAAUGAUAUAAAAAUAUAUAAAAAAAUAAUUUUAAAUAAAAAAAUAAAAUUUAAAAAAAACAGUCGAACACUGCUUUAUUCAACCGUAUUCUCUUGCUUGAGUCUGUUUUUUUCCGCACAUUCUGAAGAUAGCAGUUCGAGAAUACGAAAACCAUCUGAUUGGUGGAAGCCUUCAUCUCGUCUAUGAAGAAAUCCAAGUGGAAACGCCAUUUAUUUGAAUUGAAUAGAAAUCCUGGGAUCCGCAGGUGCGAGAGAAGCAUCAGUGAGACUUUGUCGUUGAUCCGUCCGCUAAAUAAGCUUCGUUGUCUGAAAGACUCUUUGUUUAGGUUCCUUCAUAUCACAUCUUUGUUUCUUUUUUCUGUUUGUUUUCUAGUGAAGUGAGGUAGCCAUUGCCGACAAAAAAGAAUAGAAUAGAUAUUGGAAGGGAAUGGUCCUAGUCUUUCAGAUUGUUAGCCAACGGAUCGGCACCCUCUUUGGUUGGAUCGGCACCCUCUUCGGGUGGUUUUUUCUCUCAUGCCUCCUUUUAUGAUUACAGGCUUCGAGAAUGGAAGUCAACCCCCUGUCAUCAAUGCUAAAUCAUCGAUAUUUUGGAAUGGACCAACCUUACGGAUUUGCAACGAAUUACAUAUAUAUUAUUUUUUUAAUAUUAACAACGGAUAAUCCGUUGCAAAAUUUAUAUUGAAUUUAGCAACGGAUUUUCCGUUGCUAAUUGAAAAAAAAAAAGUUAAUAUAAAACCAAAAUUAUAUAGACCGUUGAUUAUAUUAAAUCCGGACUGUUUAUUUCAAUCUCUCAAUCCCCGCCCCACACCGAAAUACAGAUCCAACAAAACCAAAAUGUACAUUCACUCUUCCACUCUUCCAACAGAUCCUUCGUUCGAACAAAAUCAUCGAUCCAUCACCCUCAUCAAAAAUCACCAUAACUAUUCAACAGAUCCGAAACUGUUCAUCAUCUUCUUCUCCUUCGUGUUCAUCAUCUUCUUCUCCUUCAUUUUAAACCAACAAAAACAGAGACCCAUGACAACAUCGCACCAGACCCAUCAUCAUCACCAUCGAACAUCCUGUUUUGCCCCUUCUCUGUAAACGGGUUAGGUUUUGCAUUGUUUUCUUCAAUAGCUCAGGUAAUUAAUUUAUGGUUUUUGUUUUCUUUGUUGCAAUUUAAGUUACACUAAAUAGUUCUAACCUAACUUUUACAAUCUCAGGUGUGAUUCUGUUGUGUUGAUCCAUCUCCCUCACCCAUCUCCCUCACCUGUAACCGAAGAACACAGGUAAGAAUUGUUUUUCCCGAAACUUUGAAUAAUGGUUUUAGGCUAUUAAUUCGAUAAUAUAAUGUUUAUGAUAUUUUUACCAUGAUUUAUAACAUAAUAUGCACGUUUAAAUGUAAAUUUAUGAAAACCCCAAAUUAAUUUUUAGGGUUACGGUUCAUAAAUUGAAUGAUUUUAUUCAACCUGACCAAUGCUGGCAAUUCUUGUGUCUGGAAGAGAGUGAUUGAUGGAAAUUAUGCAUGUUUAAUUGAAAAUUUAUCAAAACCCCCAAUUUAAUUUUUAACAAUUAGUAUUAUUGAUGUUGUGUGUUCUUUGAUGUCUGCAAAUUGUCCUCCUGUGCACCGAAACCUAGGUGUUUUGAAUGUAUUCAUAUGCUUAUAUAUAUAUAAGGAAACUUGAUUGUUGUUGUUGUGUUUCGUUAAUAAGAUUGCUGUUUUAUUUUUGUUUCUUCAUUAAUUAUUUUUUUCUUGCUUUUACUUGUUAUAUAUAUAAUUAGCAGAAUUGUGUAGUGAAAGAGGUUAGAAUUCAUGGUUGCCUCCUCCUUGCAUGGUGAUAAGUUAAUUUCCCACAUUAGCUAUAUAUGUUGUCUGUUUUUCAUUUGAUUGUCCUGUCUUGAGGUCAGCAUGCAUGAUUUGGAAAUUAACUAUUAGUCUCUUGGAUGAGGAUUUGUUUUUGUAUUAAAGAGUUCUACAGCUCUUUUGGCUUUUUUUAUAGUUACUAUGUUGCAUGAACUAAGUAGCAAAUUUUUUGGAGCCAACUUGUGUAAUUGCAGAAACAAUCGCAUGUUUUUAGCAUGUUUGUAUGUAAUGAUACAUGUAAAAUAGCAUUGUGCAAUGGUUCAUUUUUUAGUCAUUUCUGUGUGAAUUAAGCAAAUUGAUGCUGAAAAUCUUUGCUUGCUUAGCCAUUAUCAGUGGAUAUAGGAUCAGUUAACAAACUACAAGCAAUCGCAUGGGCUUGUUAGAAUUAUUUGUGGAAAAGGCUAGGGUCAAGUGCUGUGAGGUCACUGGACUUGACCCUUUAAAUUGUGAAAUUGGAAAUAUUAGACACUCUUUUGCUGUUUUCGGUUCACAAGGUUGAUGUUUACACUGUGAAGUCAGUUCUAGCAAAGCACUAAUUAGUAUAGAUCCAUUUCCAAUCACACAAAGGAUAAAGGAUUAGAGAGCAAAGCACUAAUUUGUUUUAAAGACUAGCAAUUGUUAUAACUUGAUGGGUGUAACAUACUGUUUAUGUUUUUUAUUUUUCCAGCAAUAUGAAUGGCUUAUUGGAUCACAACAUAAUCAAAUAGAGUUGGCUAAAUCUGAUUGGGUUGCAAUAAGAAAACCUCCACCUUGUGCCAUUGAUUUUUGGGGCUUUGGUAAGUCUAUUUUGCUCCAUUUUUACAUGGUUGCUUAAUUAUAUGGUGCGUAUUUUUUCUGUUGGGCAUGCAUAUUGUAAUCCUUUGAAGUAGUUGGAACUUUGCCUUUCAUUGGGAUAAUAUUGACAGUUUGUAUAAGAAAACUAAUGGAAUGAUUUUCUUUCAUUAAAUGUGAUCUUGAGUACACAUUUAGGUUACAUUACAAUGAUGGACAAGUUGAUUCCUUUUACUAUAUGCACAACAUAAUUGAUAAAAUAAGAAAAAGAAACCCCAGCAGUAAAAAGAGCUUGAAAUCUAUUGAAUUUGAUAUUGAAUUCUGUUGAUCGGAUUUUGAGGGAGAGAUGGGAGAAAUGGGUGAGAGAUAUUGAUUUGAAAGAAAUGUUUAAAUUAUUCAACACUUUGGAAAAUGCAAAACCACUUUUAGGUGUUUUAUGGAAAAGUAAGUAUUCUUUAAAUUCGGUGAUUGCAAUUAUAAUUACGCGUGGAAAACAUGUAUACACACGCAAAUUAAAUAAUGUCGUGUAAUUUUUAAUUGAAAUUAUAUUAAAAUAAAUUUUUAUAAUUUUUUUAACAUUGUUAUAUUAAAAUUAUUUAAAAAUAUAAAAAAAUUAAUUUGAUAUUUUUUAAAAAAUAUGUCAUAAUACAAAAACAAAUUCUCAUCCAAGAGACUAAUAGUUAAUAUACAUGUUUAACUAUAAACUUUGAUUACACAACAAAAUAUAAAUAAUAAGUAUUUCAUAGAAAGAGGUUUAACAUAAAUAUAUUAACACCUCCAUUACCUUAACCAUAAAUAUUAACAAUAAUUAUUGCUCGUCCGUGUAGAACUUGUAAUCAACUAAAUUGGAUUGUGCCUAAAGAAUUUAUAAAACAAAUGUAUUUAUAUUUUCAUCCACCAAUAUUAUAAUUAUUAUUUAAUUAUUAUUUAACUACGACAUAAAAGAUAUAUACAAUGUAUAUGACAAGAGACAAAGAUACAAAUGUGAGUAACUAUUGUAACCCAUAAUAAAUUAUGUUUUUUUUUAUAUUGCAUUUUAAUCUUUUUUUUAAAAAAAAUUAAAAAAAUUCUUUAAUCUUGUAUUACCUCGCAUGUUUAUGAUUUCAUUUACCAUUUCUUAGUUGAGCAAAAAAAUAUCCGAAUAAAAAUAAAAAGUUUGAUGAAUCCAAUAAAAAUAAAAGGAUCCAAAUUAAAAAAAAAAAAAAACUAUUUGAGGUGGUAACAAAAGUUAGAAGGACCAAUAAAAAAAAAUGAACUCUAAAACUAUUAUAAAGAUAAAUUUAUUUAAAAUUUGUUCAACUAAAUAUUUUUUUUUCUUUAUCCAUUUAUUCUGUAUAAAAUAUUAACCGAACAUAAUCUAAAAGUCUACUUUUGUCACUAGUUAGAAAAUAUAAAUGAAAAUAUAAAAUACUAACCGAACAUAUUUUAUUUUAAAAGAUUGUUUAAGUUCUAGUAGUUAAAGAAGUAUGCUUAUUUCAAAAAAUGCUUAUUGGUGUUGUCAUGUUAAUUAGAUUAACAUGGAUGAUCGAUCGUGGAUGUAUCGUCGUCUUAUGGAUGGUCGCCUUCGUCCUGAAUACAUUACGGGUGUUAGAAGAUUUAUCAAUUUUGCAUUUUCAAUUGAUAAAAAUAUAUCUGGGGGAAAAAUUAGAUGUCCUUGUGUGAGGUGCAAAAAUCAAAAGUUUUUAAAGGAAGAUGAUGUUUGUAAACAUCUAUUGACAAAAGGUUUUUUACCUUGUUAUGAAAAUUGGACUGUACAUGGGGAGCCUUAUGUCGCAGAACCAAUAUUGGCUGGACCUUCAUCGAUUGGAAUGAGUCAUGUUGUGAAUGAUGUUUGUCUAGAGAAUCCAUAUAGGAAUCUGGUUAUGGAUGCAAUGGGGGUUGGUGAUGCAUUCUACAAUGAUAAUGUGUCUAGUCCUGUGGUAGCAGGGGAAAUUCCAAACCCGGAGGCAACUAAAUUUUUUAAGCUUUUGAAAGCUGCGGAGGAGCCGUUGUGGGAUGGGUGUACCAAGCAAUCCAAAUUAUCUGCUUGUGUACAAUUGCUUAAUAUGAAGUCAACUUUAAAUUUGACUCAGAAUGCCUUCAACAAUUUUAUUGACUUUACAAAAAGUUGCAUGCCUAAUGAUGAAAAUUUGGUUUCAAAUUUUUAUGAUGCCAAGAAAUUUAUGCGGCCACUUGGACUUGGUUAUGAGAAAUAUGAUGUGUGUCCUAAUUACUGUAUGUUGUACUAUGGGGCAGAUGCAAUGAAAAUAAAUUGUGAUUUUUGUGGAAGUUCACGAUACAAACCUAGAAAUCCAACUAGUAAAGGUUCCAAUAAGGCGGAGAAGCAACUCCGAUACUUUCCCUUGACACCAAGGCUUCAGAGACUGUUCAUGUCUCCAUAUCAUGCCAAAGAUAUGACAUGGCAUCAUUUUCAUAAUUCUGAUAAUGGGGUUAUGGUGCACCCAUCUGAUGGGGAGGCAUGGAAGGAGUUUAAUCGUGUCCACUUAAGCUUUGCAUCAGAUCCGAGAAAUAUUCGGUUAGGGUUGUGCACUGAUGGGUUUUGUCCAUUUGACAUGUCUUCAAAUACAUACUCUUGUUGGCCAGUAAUUGUGACUGUUUAUAAUUUGCCUCCGUGGAAGUGCAUGACUAGACCAUUCAUGUUUUUGACAAUGAUGAUUCCUGGGCCAAAGAAUCCGGGUAAAAAGCUUGAUGUUUUCCUAAGACCUUUGAUUGAUGAGUUAAAGAAUUUGUGGUAUGUUGGUGUUGAAACAUAUGAUGUAUAUAGAAAGGAAAAUUUUCAAUUAAGGGCAGCUUUAAUGUGGACCAUUAGUGACUUUCCAGCAUAUGGCAUGUUAUCGGGGUGGAGUACUCAUGGAAAUCUGUCUUGUCCUUAUUGUAUGGAGCAUAGCAAGGCUUUUAGAUUAAAAAAUGGAGGGAAAACUACAUUUUUUGAUUGUCAUCGACGAUUCCUACCCAUGAACCACCCAUAUAGAUUUCAAUCUGAUAAGUUUUUGAAAGGAGUAAUUGAAAGGCUCCCUCCUUUACCUCGUCCAUCUGGUUUGGAAAUGUUGAACGAAGUGUUGAAGUAUACUGAGGGACAUAAUGGAGGGUCAUCAUAUAAUGAUAAAAUUCCUGGCUUUGGUGUUAAGCACAAUUGGGUGAAAAAGAGCAUUUUCUGGGAGCUUCCAUAUUGGCAUACAAAUUUGAUUCGUCAUAAUCUUGAUGUCAUGCAUGUUGAGAAAAAUGUCUUUGACAAUAUUUUUUAUACAGUUAUGGAUUGUCCGAAUAGAAGCAAGGACAAUUUAAAGGCUAGGUUGGAUAUUCAAUUGUAUUGUCAGAAGCCAAAUUUGCAUUUGCAACAAGAUAUGAGUGGUCGGGUUUACAAACCUAAAGGCACUUAUUGUCUACACAAGAAACAACAACAAGAAGUCUUGUCAUGGAUGAAGGAAUUAUCAUUUCCUGAUGGUUAUGCUUCAAGCAUUUCAAGAUGUGUGAAAGAGGCACAAUGUAAGGUUUCGGGGAUGAAGAGCCAUGAUUGCCAUGUCUUCAUUCAAAGACUUCUUCCAACCGCUUUCCGACCUUACUUACCUAGGCCACUGUGGGAGGCAUUAACUGAACUGUCCGUAUUUUUUCGAGAUAUUUGUUCAACAAAUUUAAAUGCCCAGCACAUGGAGUUAAUGCAGAUGAAUAUAAUUGAAAUAAUUUGCAAACUUGAAAGGAUUUUUCCUCCAUCAUUCUUUGACUCCAUGGAACACUUGACGAUACAUCUACCUUACGAGGCAAAAGUUGGUGGACCAGUUCAAUAUCGAUGGAUGUAUCCAUUUGAACGGUAUGUUUUCAUACUAUGUUAAUUUUAUUAACUUUUGAUUUUUAAAAAAUAAACUAAUUGACAUAAAUGAUAUAGGUAUAUGUUUUAUUUGAAGAAGAAAGUGACCAAUAAAGCUAAAGUUGAGGGUUCCAUAUGUGAAGCAUACUUGAUUGAUGAAAUUACCAAUUUUGCAUCUCAUUAUUUUGGUGAUGACGUGCAAACAAUUUGGAAUCGAGUUCCACGGAAUGAUGAUGGUGGCCUUAGAAGUGUAGAUGGAUGUCUCUCUAUUUUUUCCUAUCCAGGGAAAAAAUUAUCCAAAAGAUUUUAUAAAAGGCAGUUGUCACAUGCUGAAAUGCAAAUUGCGCAUAACUAUGUGAUAUUCAAUUGUCAAGAACUGAAGCCUUAUUUAGAGUAAGUAUGAAAUAUUAUUUUGUACUAAAUUUAUAAUAAUUGUUAUUAACUUUAACAUUUUAAAAUUUUAGGCAAUGUCGACAAGAGCUAAAGUCACAACAACCACAUGCGAGUGAUGGUGAAAUUGAAAAAUUAUGCGAAACGAUCUUUCCAAAUUGGUUAAAAAAUAAUGUAAGUAUUUUAAUAAAAUCAUAUUAUAUUUUAUGUCAAUUAGCUACUUUAAAAAUAUUAUUAGGGGCUUUUAAAUUAUUAUUUCUUAUGGAGUUAACUAUUAUGCUAGGUGGAAUACCAAUCUAACGGAAUUGAAAAUCAGCUCUUUGGACUUGCUAUGGGCCCUUCAACUUCAGUGAAAUGUUAUAAUGGGUAUUAUGUCAAUGGUUUUAAAUUUCAUACUCAACGUUAUGGUCGUUUUAAAAAGACAAUGAAUAGUGGAGUUUGUGUGAAAGGAAGUUGUUAUGAUGAUGAUGAACGUGAUUAUUAUGGAAUGCUUAAAGAAGUUGUUCGGCUAAAAUACUUGGGGAGUAAGUGCAAGUUAUUUAUGUUUAAAUGUAAUUGGUAUGAUACAAGACGAGGGAUUAGAGUGCAUCCUUCGAAUGGUUUGGUUGAAAUCAAGCAUACAUCUCGACUACACGAAAAUGAAGAUUUUGUGUUAGCACAACAAUGUCAACAAGUCUACUAUACAUAUCCACCUGGUAAUAAAUCAUCUGAAUGGUGGACGGUUAUUAAGACAACUGCUAGAAGUCGUUAUAAUGUUGAUAUGGGUGAAUUUAUUGAAGAUGCAAACAAUGUAAGAUCAUUUGAUGUUGAUCAAUCAGAUGAGAUUUCUCAACCAUCUCUUGUCCUUCCUACUCAAACACUUGAUGAUCCAAAUAUACUUGUUGAAUCAUCUUAUUAUGAAGAAAUCGGGCAACAUGAAUUGAUUCAACUUGACAUAAAUUGGGGAAACAAAGAUGAUGAAGCAGAAGAAGAAGAAGAUGGUGAUGGUGAUGCUGAAGAAGAAGAAGAAGAAGAAGAAGAAGAAGAAGAAGAAGAAGAAGAUGAUGAUGAUGAUGAGGAUGAUUGUUAUGGUGGUGAUGGUUAGGAGUGAUGAUAAUAAUGAGUAGCACAAGUUAAUUAUAUUUCAUAGUAUAUGUAAUGAAUUAUCUUUAUUAUAUGUAUGGAUGAUUUCAUAUUAUUUGACAAUAUUUAGGCUUUCAAUGUUUUUUUUUUUAUUAUUUUAUUCAAGUGUGUGUUAUGCAUCACAUUACAUAAAUCAUUUUCAUUGACCUUUGAAACCAUUUAUAACCUUUCAAGUAUCAAUCUUUAAAUUGUGAUUCUGAUGUUAUAUUUUAUUUUGUGAUUCGUUUUCUUGCUUAUAGGUGCUGAAGCGUGAAAGAAAGGGUUUUUCCUACUAAUUGUUUUGAUUUAUAGGACCAAACAUUAAGGUAAGCAUACUCAUAAAUUUUGAUUUCUGCUUAAUUAAUUAUUUAGAUUUUUUUUUUUAUUGUUUGUGUUAAUUGGCUUAUUACAAUUUAAACUUCAUAGCUGAUUUUUGUCAUUGCAAGGAAUGCUUAAUGAAAUUGUCUUGAUGUUAUUUACAUAUUUGGUUUUGUUGCAGUAAUUAUUUUAUUUGAAGUAUAAUAUUUUUCGGAGUGAUGGCUAUUAUUGUUAUGUUGUAUAUAUUCAUAUGAUAAUGUAUAUAUUUUUUCUGGUUUUUAGCAUGCCUCGACGAGGAUCCAUAUUAGAAUCUAGGAGUGACAGGUCCACUUCAUCCAAAUCAUUUCAAAACUACAUCAAGGCAUAAUAAAAAGGAUCCACAGUUCAUCAACCUGUGUAUCAGAACACAAAUGAGUAUUAUAUACCUACUUUGGGGAGUACACAUCCUCUCAACAUGAUUAUGGGAGGGUUGAUGGAUAUCAAUAUUGUGAGGGAUUUCGUUUUCAGGAUUUGCUUCAAACUCAAGGAGGUUUCUCUCGAGAUAACCAACUUGUUUAUGGAGGACAUAAUUUAUAUGGGAGUCAUGGGAGAGUUGAUGGUGAUGAUGAUGAUGUGAACAUUAGAGAUGAAGAUGAGGGAGACGGUAGUAAUGUGAGAGGUGUAUGUGAUGAGGAUCAAGAUGGUGUUCCAUCAUAUCACGGUUCAACAUCUUCUCCAUACAAUUAUGAUCAAAUUGUUAAAAGGAAGGGUUUUGACACGCCAAUGGAUCCAAUAACAAGAAAAAAAGAGCUUUGUUUGUAUGGAACAACAGAGUAAGUUCAACUUUUUAAUAACUAACUGAUUAAGGUUAUAUUUUUAGGUAUGAAAAAAAUUACUUAUUAUUGUAUAAUUAUUUGUUUAAUAUAAGUUUGUUAUUAUGUAUUUUCAGGUUCAAUAACGCAUCAUGUGGACGUGUAAUUGGAGAUAUUUUGAGGUCCAAUUUUAAGGGAGCAUGGCACUCUUGGGAAAAAGUAGAUUCAAUGUGCAGGGAUGAACUUUUUAGAGAGUUUAAGGUAAGAACCACACUAAUUGCCAUAAUAUUCUUUUUAAUUUUGAUCACUUUAAUGUAGCAUUAUGAAAAUUAUCAACUGAAUAGCUAUGACUGAUUUGUGUUAUAAUUUGUUUUAUUUCUUGUUUACUCUUUAAUAUCAUUUAAUUUCUUUAGUUAUUACAUUCUUGCAAAUUUGAACAAGAUAACACAAUAUGAUUAAUUAUUUAUAUAAUUUGAAAUUUUGUGCACUCUUUUUACUUGGUAUAUAUAUUAUUUGGUAGAAAAAAUAUUCCUUUCCUGAGGAAGAUGAGUCGAUUGUUCAUAUUUGGGAAGAUAAGGCUAGGAUAUAGCUUUGAAUCAACAAUUGACACGAGCUCGCAAGAAGCCAUGUCAAAAGAAAACACAACAAAUAUUCUAGAUUGCCUUGAUAAAGGUCCUGCCUGGAUAAACAAUGAUGAUUGGAAUCAAAUGAUCAAAGAUGUUUGGUCCACCCCUGAAUUUCAAAGGAGGUCUGAAUCUGCCAGGAGGAAUCGAUUAUCCCAAACAGAUGGCAAAAUAAGCACUCAUUCUGGAGGAACAGUGUCAUUUGCAUCAUAUCGAGCUAACAUGGUAAGGAUAUUUUUUUUUUAUGCUUAAGAUAAUGAAUUAAAAUUUGUAUAUUUAUCUUUUAUAAUAUUUAUUAAUCUUAAAAGCAAGAGGAAGCUAGUGGAAAAGAACCUUCAUGGGAUGAUGUCUUUUCAGCUUUGCAUCAAAGUACUAAGCAGUCUGGUAGCUUCGUCGACAACAAGUCAAAAAAAGUGGUUGUAUGUAUUUUUAUUUGAUUAUUUUUUAAUAUAACUCAAGUAUUAUUUAACAUUCAAAUUAAUUUAUUGUUGCAUGUAUUUUAUUUGUAGGAAAAUUAUAAAACGGAGAUGAUUUCAAAGUAUGGAACUGAUCGGGAAAAUCAUCCUUCAUUUGAUGGAGCAGCUUGGUGUGUGGCUUCAGGAGGAGUUACAAAGGGUAGGGUAUAUGGUGCACCUCGUAUGCCAAAAUCUAUAGUUAGUACAAGCUCUUCAUCACAUUCCUACUCGGUGGAGUCAUCAUAUCCCAGUUCAUCAUAUCGAGCAUUGCAAGAGGAGAUAAAGAAAAAAGAUGAUGUGAUUUUUGAAAUGCAACGGCAGAUGGAUUCCAUGAAAAAAUAUCUUGUGAACAAUCUUGGAUAUCAUGGCGGGACAUCAAAUAUUGAUCAAGGUAUGCCACCACCUUUGACUCCAUCAAUACCGCCACAUAUGGCUCCUCAGAUAAUGACACCUAUGGGUCCCACAUCUCAACCAAUUUAUCGACCUAUACCUCGACCUUUAUAUCCUGAUCAAUCUUGUGACGAUCCACAAUAUCAUGGUUCGUCUUCGCAACCAGCACCAUGAUUGUAUCUUUUGUUGUUUUUUUUUUUUUUGUAUUUGAACUUAAUUGUAUUAAUGCAUGUUUAACUAAAUUUUUAUAAUAUGAAUAUUAUUUUUAUUAAUUAUAUAAUUAUUGUUAAUAUUAAUUUAUGCUGGUUAUAUAUAUUCUGCAAUUUUUAAAAUAUCCAUAAAUAAAUAAAUUAAUUAGAAAUCAUUUUAAUAAAUAAAUAAAACGUAAUUUAAUAAAAAUUUAAUAAUACAAUCACCAAUGCACGAAUUAGCAACGAAUUCUCCGUUGUUGAUACAUGAAUCAGCAACGGAGAAUCCGUUGCUGAUUCACAGAACGAGCAAUGGAGAAUCCGUUGCUGAUUCACAGAACUAGCAAUGGAUUUUCCGUUGCUGAUUCUCCGUUGCUAUUUGUAAGCAACGGAUUUUCCGUUGCUGCAAAAUCAACAACGUAUUUAUCCGUUGCAAAAAAAUCAGCAACGACAAAUCUGCAUCCGAUUUGUGCCGUUGCUGAUUCCGUUGCUAAAUUACUUUAGCAACGGAUUUUAAUGGUUUUUGCAACGGAAUAGUCCGUUGCUAAUUACUAUAUGUUUUAGUAGUGUUGGUUAGCUUAACUACUUUCCUUGACUUUGAUUUACUAUGAUCAAUCUUAGAUUGACCUCAUUAUAAGAUAGGUUUUUACAGAGUCGGAUCAAACUUGCGAAGCAAGCUAAGCAAGGGUGAUGCGAUGGAUAUGGAUAGAAUCGAGAAUGUUUCUUACUCACUCUUUCAUAGAGAUGGCUAUUGUACAAGGAAGCCAUGUACAUAUUUUCAAACUGAAAGCAAGAUCUUGCAACCAAACACACACAUGACUCAAUUAGGAGGAUACAAUGUUACUUGAUUAAGAUAUUGCUUUAGGUCCAUCUCAGUAUAAGACAUGUUCUAGUAUAGAACAAUUGUCUCUAACUUCAUUCUCUUUGUUAAUAAUCCCCAUGAUUUUCUUAAUAAUUUGCUUGUCACUCAACAAGUAUAAAGUUGCCUUGUUUUCUAUUAGGUAAUUCAAAAGUUCUAAGCACUCAUUAUAUCAUAUUACUUCAGCUUUUUAAUUAGAAUAUGUAAUUGUUGAUCACCUUAACAUGUGAGUUUUCAUUCAAAUUCUCAAAAGCUAUGUUAUCCUUAAACCUAAUUUGACAAUAUUGAAAACAAUUUACAAUUAUAUGAAUAUAUUUUGUCCCAGUCAAAAUUGUAAAAUUUAUUACAUCUAAAAUAUUUUUAUCUUCUCAAGAUCUAGGAUUCCAAUUUCGUAGCUCUCCAAAAGAAAUUAUUCUCAAAGAACUUUUGAAAAACAAAGCUUUAAAAUCCAAAAUAGUUUAUGGAAUGGACGGUAGGCUUAUAGGUUCAUGAGUUUGGGCUUAAAUUUAGUUAAUGAAAAAUGUUUUUUUUUCUUUUAUUAAGUCCCUAUUUUAUCAUUAAUUUUUAAUCCCUAAAAUAUCUUAGCACAUGAACCAAUACAUUAAUUAUGAUGUGAUAAGAAUGAAUGUAUUUAUUAAUUUUCAUACACUAUGAACAUUCAUGAAUAUUUAUUAAUAAAUAUUCAUUAAUUAUUAAAUUAAUCUUGAUUAAUACACAUACAUGAAUUAUGAAUAUUCAUGAAUUUUGAGUAAUUAAUAUUUUGGUUCUUGAGUACUAUAAAUAGGUGUUUGGAUAGGUGGAAAGAAAAUCUUAGAGAUUUCUUGAGUUCUUUUCUUCUUUUGUUGUUGGUUUUUCUAAGUCCUAUUAUCUUAUUCAUUCUUUCUACACUAGAUCUUAGGAAUUCGUUUUUGUAGAGAGAAAACUGAUUCCAUACCAUUAAGUUCACAAACUUUAAAAAGUGCAUGUUUUCUAAGUUAUGUUGUUGGAAUCAUGAGAGAAUUAUUGAAGAAAGUCAUUUUGUAUCAAGUGACGAUGAAUAAAACCUUAAAAAAAAUAUUAAUCAUCGACAACAACAAGAAUUUCACCUUAGUUAUAUUAUAAAGACUUUAACAAGUAAGUAGCCUAAAUUAGUUUUGUUUAAGUACAAACUCUAUACUCGUUUAGUAUGCAUAUUAGGAUUGUGUUUUAGUCUUUUAUGACACACACACACAUAUUUGUUUAGUAAAAAUGCUAGCCUUUUUAAUGAUUGCAAGUUUACCAUUUUCUUAUUACAUUACAUGACUAUUUUCAUAACCCAAUUUUUGACCCCCUAAUUUAUAAAUAUUAUCAAAAUACAAAACAAAUAAAAAAAAUAUUCUUGAUGUAUUUGCAUCAUUUUUAACAUUUUUUAGUAUCUUCUAAAAAGAAUUCAUUGUUCAAAAUUUUCUUUUUAAUGUGUUCAACUUUUAACGCACCAUUUAAAAAAAAAAUCAAAAUCAAAAUACAAAUAAAAUAACAAAUAAAAAAUAUAAUAAAUGGACAAGGAGACCAAAAGUGAAAAGAAAAAAUAAGGGACUUAAGUAAAUUUAGGUUGCUUGGGGACUAAGCAAUUGAGUGGAAAAAGACAAUUUGUUUUACCUGUAAAUAGUAGAGAAACCUCUCAUAAAAAAAGAGGAGGCCAUAAAAAAAAAUAGUAAACCCUUGAUUUUUUACCUAUAAAUAGUAAAGAAAAUUAUCAAACUCUCUCCACCUCACACAUUUCCCCAAAAUACAUGCACAAAAAAACCCUUGAUUUUUUAAACCUAGCCACCAACCAACAAGUUAUCACUCUCACCCGAACAACUAGUAGCCCUAAAAAAUCAUCAUUUUAAAACUACCUUCCUAUUAAAAACCCAUUUAACAACAACGAUUUCCAUCAUCUUCCCUAGCUCUCAGCAAAAAUAAACAUUUCACACUAAAGUGUGCCUCCUAAUUAGUAUUUAAAAAUGCAUUUUUAUCAAGGUUUUAUAUCAUCAUUUUGCACUUGAAGUAUCAAUAACUCCUUACUAAAGUAUGUUUUAUAAUAACAUAUCUAAUAAUAUAAGAUACCUUUAAUUUAUGGUAAAUGUUCAUCUUAAAUGCAAGCCUAUCAUAUAGGUGAAAUUGAUUGAUUGAUGAGUUUAAGCACUGAAAUUGAAAUGACAAAGAGAGGGCCAAACUUAGAAAAGAGAUAUUGGUGCAGUCCAAACUAGAACACUGUUCAGUAAUUGGGUCAUAUCUGAAGCUGUAGAUCUUGGAUUUAGAUCUGCUUUAUAUGGAUGGAAAGGUAAAACAUAGGCCUAUAACUUUCAUGUGAAGUCCAAGAUUUAAAAAUACCGUUUUCAAGUCCAAAUUAUAGCAACAACGGAGAAUUCCGAAUCUAUCCUGCAGCCUAGACACUGUUCAGUGUUCAGCCUAUAUCUUGAGUUCUAGAAGUCCAAACUGGAACACUAUUCAUUUUUUUUUUCUGGAAAGAUAAGAAAAUUUCUUAUAACUUUCAUGAGUACAGUUGGUUCCAGUUUUAUAUUAGCAAUGAUGUUUUAUUCAGACAAGAAGAUAAAGAUUUUCACCAAGUCAAGAGUUGGCCACCCACUCAACAAUUAAUCAUCAAAUCAAUAGUUCCAAAUUUUGGCCUAUAAAAAGAGGUAUUUUCCAUGCAUUUAGGAGCUUGGUUGUUCAGAUCAAGAACUUGAUUUUGCUCUCUCUCUCUUUGUAUUUUUUGUAAUUCUUAAGUUUUGCUUUCAUUAAUAUCUUGUUUAUGCUUUUCAUUUCCUUUCCUUUACUUAGUUAACUUGUAUCUUAUUUAUAUUCUUAUUUUGUUUAUUUAUGUUUCUCUUCUUCAUUAUGUUUAGCUAAGUUUAUUAUGUCAAUGUGAAAAGGUUACACUAAUGGUGUAAGAAUAAGUAUAGUAUAAACUCAACAUGGACCUUAAUAUUUAAUAUUAACAUGUCUUAUCUUUUUAUCUAACUAAUUCUUAAUACCUUGCUUGUUAAAUGGUUAAUCUAGAUUUGUGUUGUAUAACACUUGAUACAACAAAUGCUUGGCACUCUCAUAGCCCAACCGUAUGGUAUUACCUACACCUAUGCUAUGAAAGGAACUUGAUUUGUUGUUAACAUAAAUUAGCAUCAUGAAUUCUUGACAAUAUUUAAAAGUUUGGUGUUACUUAAUACGAUAAUUAAUAUGAUCAUGUUAACAAUUUAUAAUGAGGUAUUAAUGACAAAUUAUCCGAUUGGAACCUCCUUUGUGUGUGGUUUCUAGUUGAAUAAUAAGAGUUUAUACUAUACUUGUUUGAAAUACCAUUAAUAGAUCCUCUAACCUUGACAUUUAUUUUUAUCAUUGUUUAAUCCUUACAUUAAUAUUCCAUCUCAAAGUUCUCAUCAACUUCUUUAUUAUUAUUAUUAUUAGUACUACUACUACUACUACUACUACUACUGUUGUUGUUGUUGUUGUCUAUAAUUUAUACAAUUAACCUUCUUGUGGUUCGACCCCGGUGUUGCCGAGUUAUUUAUUACUUCAACACUCUUAUACUUGGGAGAAGACAUCAAUCUUUUGAUCAUGUCAAGUUUUUGGCACCGUUGUCGGGAGGUAAAUUCUUGUACAAAUUAUAGUAUUUAUUUUAUUUUCUCUUUUUCACUUUUCUUGUAUCUAACUUUGUUUCUUUUCUUUUGUUUCCUUUUGUUUUGUUUUUUUCUUCCUUUUAUUCUCUUUUUACACGUGCAUGGGUGUUUGGUCACGUACAUUAAAUUGUAGACUUUGUAGGGUAUCUUCAUCAUUUUCAGAAAAUAUGACCGAAGAAGAUAACCAGUCACUUCAUAAUGAGAAUAACCAUGUUAGAAUACUUAGAUACCACAUGAAUCUCAUAAGAACAAGUACACCCUUAUACAUAGUUUUCCCUCUUGAUGCAUCUUCUUUUAAUUUUAAGCCAGACAUUAUUCAACUUUUACCUUUUUUUUAUGGCUUGAUCUAGAAAAUCCAUACUUGCAUUUGAGAGAAUUUAAAGAAGUUUGUACCACCUAUAAUGACAUAAAUUGUAGCAUGAAUACCAUUAGAUUAAAGCUUUUUCCCUUUUCAUUAAAAGAUAAAGCUAAAACAUGGCUACAAAAUCUUAGGUCAUGAUCCAUUUAUGUUUGGGAAUGCAACAACAAUUUUUAAAGAAGUUUUUUCCAUCUCAUAGAACCAACUCUUUCAAAAGACAAAUCACCACUUUCACUCAAAAACCAGGUGAAACAUUUUACCAAUAUUGGGAUAGGUAUGGAGACUUGCUUAAUACUUGCCCUCAUCAUGGUUUUGAAACAUGGAUAUUGGUUUCAUAUUUUUAUAAAGGAUUAACACAUAAAGAUAGGCAAAUGGUGGAAUUGAUGUGCAAUUGAAUUUUUUAAGAUAAAGACCCCAAUGAAGCAAUGGAGUACCUAGACUUGUUAGCUGAAAAUACUCAAAAUUGGGACACUACAGGCAGUGAUGAGGCACCGGGUAAAACCCAACCUCAUACAUCUAGUGGAGGUGCCUAUAACCUUAGGGAAGAUCAUGACCUCCAAGCUAAAUUUGCAUCUUUAGCUAGAAAAGUCGAGGCACUAGAAUUGGAAAAGAUUGGUCAAUUAAAAUCUGUUCAAGAAAUUAUAUGUCAAAUCUGUGAAACAAAUGAACAUGCAACCAAUGAUUAUCCAACUUUGCCUUUUUUCAAGGAAUGCCUCCAUGAACAAGCCUAUGCCUUAAACAAUUUCCAAAUGCCCAAUCAUAACCCAUACUCGUAAACAUACAACCCUGGUUGGAGAAAUCACCCAAAUUUCAGUUGGAAGAGUGAUAACAAUAAUGCACAAACUUCACAGCCACCGUUUCAAGCACACCAUGAUUUCCAAAAUUCUUAUAGAUAUGCACCUCCUUAUGCUCCACCUCCUAGAAGAAAUAUUGAGGAAACAUUGCAUGCAUUCAUUAAAAAGCAAGAGAUAAUCAACACUUAACACUUAACUUACUCAAAGCAUGACAAAUUUUAAAGAUGCUCUUGCAAAAUUAACACCUGCUCUCAGUUUUCAAGAGAAAGGUAAGUUUCCAUCUUAACCACACCAAAUCCAAAUAGGCAAUACAAUGCAAAUGCAAGUAGUUCUGGAAGCCAACAUAUGGAUCAAGUCAAAUCAGUCAUCACUCUUCACAGUGGUAAGGUUAUUGAAAAACCCACUCUUGAACCUUGUGAGAAAGAUGAUGAGUCAAUCUCUAAGGGUAAGGAAGGGAUUGAAUCUAAACAUUGUAAAGAACAGAUCGAUUCUCCGCCAGCACUUCCAUUUCCUCAUGCCAUGACCAAACAAAGAAAAGUCAAUCAUAAUUUUGAAAUCCUUGAAACUUUCAAACAGGUAAGGAUCAAUAUACUUUUAUUGGAUGCUAUUAAAUAGGUACCUUCUUAUGCUAAAUUUUUGAAAGAUCUAUACACUGUGAAGAGAAAACUGAAUGUGAAAAAGAAAGCAUUUUUAGCCGAACAAGUAAGUGCUAUUCUUCAGAACAAUAAUACGUUGAAAUAUAAAGACCCUGGUUGUCCUACAAUUUCUUGCUUUAUUGGAGAACAUAAAAUUGAAAAAGCUUUACUUGAUCUUGAAGCUAGUGUGAAUUUACUUCCAUAUUCAGUUUUUUAAAGUCUCAAUCUAGGUGAAUUAAAACCAACUUCUGUAACUCUUUUACUUGCUGAUAGAUCUAUAAAAGUGCCUAGAGGAAUAAUUGAGAAUGUGUUAGUACAAGUUGAUAAAUUCAUUUACCCUAUAGAUUUUGUUGUCUUAGAUACACAACCCGUUGAAGCAUGUAAUUCAAUUCCUGUUAUUUUAGGACGUCAAUUUCUUGCAACUUCUAAUGCAUUGAUUAAUUGUAGGAAUUGACUGAUGAAGCUAUUAUUUGGAAACAUGACAUUGGAGAUGAAUAUUUUCAACAUUUGCAAGCAACCUGGAGAUAAUAAUGAUUUACAGGAAGUGGAAUUUAUUGAAAAAUUAGUUCAUGAUCAAUUUCAAACCACUUUCAGUGAAACUGAGAUUGAUGAACUUGACGAGUUGCAAAUGGUUUAUUUUUAGGAAGAAGAAAAGGCAUGUAAUUGGAGACCACAAGUUGAAGAAUUGCCACCACGAUCAAUUGAGUCCAUACCUUCAAGUGUUCAACCACCAAAACCUGAUUUGAAACCAUUACCAUUCAAUCUCAAAUACUUAUUUUUUGGAGAAAAUGAAAUAUUUCCAAUAAUAAUCUCUUUCAAACUUAAUGCACGUCAAGAAGGUAAGUUAUUACAAACUCUGAAAAUGUACAAAAAUGCAUUAGAAUAGACCAUAACUGACAUAAAAGGAAUUAGCCCUUUGAUGUGCACACACAGGAUUUAUUUAGAGGAAAAUGUUAAACCCUCUAGAGAAAAGCAACAAAGUCUUAGUUCUAAUAUGAAAGAAGUAGUGAAAAUGAAGUCAUUAAGCUUCUAGAUAAUGAAAUCAUUUAUCAUAUUUCUAACAGCAAAUGGAUAAGUCUCAGGAAGUCUGGAGUCACUGUGAUAACAAACGAGAAAAAUGAGUUAAUUCCAACUAAGACUAUUACUGGUUCGCGCAUGUGCAUUGACUACAGGAAACUUAAUUCAAUGACUAGAAAAAAUCAUUUCGCUUUAUCUUUUAUGGAUCAAAUCCUAGAAAGAGUUGCAGGUCAUGAAUUUUAUUAUUUCCUAGAUGGCUAUUCAGGUUAUAAUCAAAUUGAAAUUGCAUUGGAAGAUCAAGAGAACACUACUUUCACAUGUUUUGUUACUUUUGCAUAUUGAAGAAUGCCUUUUGGAUUAUGUAAUGCACCAGCCACAUUUCAAAGAUGCAUGAUCAGCAUAUUCAGUGAUAUGGUUGAAUGUUUCCUUGAGAUUUUUAUGGAUGAUUUUUCUGUUUUUGAGAUUUUUGCAUUAAGAAUGCUAAAAAAAGCUACCAAGCCUAUUUAGUAAAGAAGCAAAACAGACCAAAACGACUAAUGAAAAUAAAAAAGUACUCAUUUAACAUUAAAAGAGUAAAAGAGAUAUUCAAUUAACUAAAACUAUCAAUUUAACCCUUUAACCAUAUAUUCAUCAACUAUCCACCUGCAUACGACUCAUAUCCACGACUAAAUCAACCAAAAUAAUUAAUAGUCUUGAAAAAAAAAUUAAUAGUCAACAUAAACAAGUUUAAUCAAGCAAGUGAAUUAGGCAUAUUAGCAAGCAAAAAUGAGAGAUCUAAAGAGAUUAGGAAUCAAACUUCACAUUUAGGACCUAAGAGAGUAUAUAAAGAGUUAUGCAUUUUAUUUAGGAUGCAACAAAAUAUAUAUAAAAAAUGGUUUUUAGAAAUCAAUUACUUAGAUAUCUACACCUUUAUAAAUGAUGUUGCUUAGUAUGAAAAAAUGAUGGCUAAGUGUGCAAAAUAAAUGCCACUAGGGAAAUAUAACUAGUUAGCUAAUUGAGCGAGGUUGUGCUCACCCAUGCAAUGACUAAUUUAGAUUUUGAAGAAGUUUAAUAAUAAUUUAUAUUAGUCAUAGAACUUCAAAAAGGAAAACCAGUUGAGAUUAUUGCAUUAGAAAUGCUUAAAAAAGGUACCAAGCCUAUUUGUAAAUAAGGAAAAAAGACCGAAAUGACUAGUGGAAAUAAAGAGUACUCAUCCAACAUUAAAAGAGUAAAAGAGAUAUUCAAUCAAUUAAAACUAUCAAUUUAACCCUUCAACAUAUAUUCAUCAACUAUCCAACUCUAUACGCCUCAUAUCUACGACUAAAUCAACCAACAUAAUUAAUAGUCCUCGCAAAAAUCAAGCAAGUGAAUUGGGCAUAUUAGCAAGCAACAACGAGAGAUAGGGACUUGUUAUUGAAAUAAAGAGAUUAGGAAUCAAACUUCACAUUCUCUAAAAAGAUAGGACGUUUCAUUAAAAUAUAUGUAUGAAUUUCAAGAUAUAAAUAUAAGAUGAAAAAGGUAUGGUAAAAAUGUAAAAAUAAAAACAAUAACAAAAAUAAAGUUGAUUAGGUCAAAAUUGCACUAGAAUUUGCUGCUAGAAAUAUUUUCAUACCUUAUAGAGUUUCAUAUAAUUUUUAUCAAGGGAUUUAAAUUAAAAAUAAAUGAAAUAUUGAACAAAAAUUGCAUUUGCUAUUUUUAACUUCACAUUUCAAUAAUAAUAAUAAAAAAAAACUACAAAUUUAUAAAAGUCUUGUAAGCUUUUGUUUAGUAUUUAAUGAGUUGGAAUAGUUAAUUAUAAAAAUUACAAGGCCUUCCUACCUAGAUUUAAGUAAAGAAACAAAACAAUAUGUUUUUUUUUUGUAUAAUCUAUCAUGAGGAUAUUUGGAAAAAUUGUUCUUUGUUGAAGGCUUAUUGAUUUAAGAAAAAGCUAUAUAUAGGUAAUAGUUUUCAACUUUAAAUUUUAUUUUUUAUAUUUAUCUUAUAUAUACAUAAAAGAUAUUAUAUAUCUUAUUCUAUCAUUGUCACCAAACUAUAUGUUAAUUUUUUAAACUAAAAUAAAUGAUAAUUUGCCUUAUAUAGUUUUAUACAAUUUUUAUCAAUGGAUAUAAACUAAAAACAAAUAUACAAUUAAUAGCAAAAACUAUAUUUUGAUAUCUUUUGUUGUCCAAAAUCACAAAAUGAUUAGAUGAUUAAACAAGUUAGCAUAUUUGUUUAGUUUAUAAUUGUCUUGGCAUGCAUGACGUCGAAUGAUGGAGUUACCUUCUAGAAUGAAAGAGUUUUGGGUUAAUCAUACAAUUAUAACUUGAGGAAGUCGCCACCUAGUAUCAUGGUCAUUAAGAGUAUAUGGUUUGCGAGAGUUUGGGUAAGAAGACUAGUUAUGUCAGGGGAAGACACAUCAUUCCUAGUGCACCCUACCUGUGAUAAACUGCAUUAUUGAUUGAUUGUUAUUCUAAGUUGUGUUUAUAUUUGUUGGUCUCAUUUAAGGUUUAAGGCAGAUCUCCCUUCGUAAGGAAGUCUCUACCUUAUCAGGUUAAAUCCUAACCGUUUUAAAACCUCAAUUUUAGCAUCGUAUUUAUUUUUUGUUUUUUAUAUUUAAUUUAUGAUGAUAUACUUUACAAUGUAAUUUCAUACCCUCAAAUAAUAAAGUCUAUAGGUAAUUCAUAAGGCUUAUUGUUAUUAAUUAAUUUAAUUUAAUAUCGAGAGUAUGUGUUAUGUUGUAAAAUUCAUACCCCGGAUAUUAAUUAAACAAAUUACUUUUUGUGGUAUUUUUAAGAUUUUGGUCAAAUUCUAAUGGAUAAUCAAAACUAGUUCCAAUAUCCAUUUUGCCUUUUUGAAACAUGACGAGAAUGCAAUUUUUUUUUAAUAGAAAAUAUGCAUGAAAAACAUUUAGAAUUUGGUUGUAUGCACGGAAACAAAAUAUAUUUGUGUGUUUUUGGAAUAGAUUUUUUUUUAAUCCUUCUUAAUUUUCUUUAAGUUUCAAGAAAAAUCAUAUAUUUUUAAUAUUGAGUCUGUAUCUAACAAUAUAUGUCUACAACUCAACAUUAGGCAAAAUUAUUGGAAGAACAUGCGAGGGACCCAUGAAUAAUUUUAAAAUGAUCCUUAAUAUAUGUUUUUUAGAAUUUUGAAAACCAUUCGAGGCUUGUCUAUAAAAAGCACAAAAAUGCAUUUUAAAGCAAGCAAGACACUAAUUCAAAAUAAGUUAUUCUUUCACCAUUCACCAGUUUAAUAAUUCAACAAAACAAACAUUAAAAAAUCUAAUCUUGAAAAUUUCAUGAAUUAUAUUUAAAUUGCAUACUAAUUCAAGCUAAUCAACACAAACCCAAAACAUAAUUCAUGCAUCAACAUUUAAUGUCCGAAAGGAAAUUAUAACCUAAAACAUAAUUUCAAAUAUGUUGCCUGCAAACCUUGCUAGGUUUUUAAUUAGUGGGAGCCUUGUUGGGAUUAAAACCUUACCAGGUCCUUUUGUUGUAGUCUUGCUGGACUCUUUCUUCAUAACACAUUUGCUGGAUUUUUAAUAAUCAGUAGCCUUGUUGAGCUCAGAACCAUGCUGGGUUUUUCUAUAGAGUCUAAUUGGACUCUUUUUUUUUAUCAAAACUUUGCUAGGUUUUUAAUCGAUGGGAGCCUUGUUAGGUUUAGAACCUUGUCGAGUUCUAAUUUGCUAGGUGAUUAGUACUUAAGAGUGCAUUUUUUUCAAGGUUUUAUGUCAUCAUUUUGUACUUGAAGUAUCAAAAAUCUCAUUCAAGAUAAAAAAGAUAAGACAUGUUAAUAUUAAACAUUAAGGUCCAUGUUGAGUUUACACUAUACUUAUUCUUACACCAUUAGUGUAACCUUUUCACCUUGACAUAAUAAACUUAGCUAAACAUAAUGAAGAAGAGAAACAUAAAUAAACAAAAUAAAAACAUAAAUAAGAUACAAGUUAACUAAGUAAAGGAAAGGAAAUGAAAAACAUAAACAAGAUAUUAAUGAAAGCAAAACUUAAGAAUUAUAAAAAAUAUAAAGAGAGAGAGAGAGAGCAAGAGCAAGUUCUUGAUCUGAACAACCAAGCUCCUAAAUGCAUGGCAAAUGCCUCCUUUUAUAGGCCAAAAUUUGGAACUAUUGAUUUGAUGACUAAUUGUUGAGUGGGUGGCCAACUCUUGACUUGGUGAAAAUCCUUAGCUUCUUGUAUGAAUAAAACGUCAUUGCUAACAUUAGAACUAGAACGAACUAUACCAUGAAAGUUAUAGGAAAUUGUCUUAUCCUUCUAGAAAAAAAAUUUGAGGUCAUUUGGACUUCUAGAACUUGAGAUAUGGGUUGAACACUGAACAGUGUUUGGGCUGCAAGAUAGAUUCGGACUUCUCCGUUGUUGCUAUAAUUUGGACUUGAAAACGGUCGUUUUAAAUCUUGGACUCUACAUGAAAGUUGUAGGCCUAUGUCUUACCUUUCCAUCCAUAUAAAGCAGACCUAAAUCCGAGAUCUAUAGCUUCAGAUAUGACCCAAUUACCGAACAGUGUUCCAGUUUGGAUUGCACCAACAUCUCUUUUCUAAGUUUGGCCCUCCUUUUGUCCUUUCAAUUUCAGUACUCAGACUCAUUAAUCAAUCCUUUCAUUUAUGUGAUAGGCCUACAUUUAAGACGAACAUUUUACAUAAAUUAAAGGUAUCUUAUAUUAUUAGAUAUGUUAUUAUAAAACAUGUUUUAGUUAAGGAGUUAUUGAUACUUUAAGUGCAAAACGAUGAUAUAAAACCUUGAUAAAUAUGCACUUUUAAGUACUAAUCACACAUCCCAACCAGCUUAUUACUAGUCCCUAGUAAUCAAAGUGUUAAAAUAGAAAAACAAUUUGUGAAUUCCACAACGCAAGGCAUUCAUCAUUCAACUUCUAUUAAUCUAUCCAGAUAAACAAACUCUCAUUAAAUUCAUAUAUCUGUUCACUAUCUCUUAAACAAGAUAUUAAUAAAUCUUUCUUUUGUGCUCAAAAUAUCAACAUAUAGUUUGGGGCUUUACUUGGAAGAAAACAAAAUUUUUGCUCUAAUGUUUAAGGUUAACUUCCUUGGGUUGAGAUUAUUAUCCUUUAUAUAUAUAUAUAGCUUAAAACACAAUGCAUCUAUAACCCAUGUAACGAGCUUUCAGCUAAUGACUCCCAAACCAGUUUUUCAUAGGGCAUUAGGUGAUGAGACACCCCUACGAGCUUAGUAACUCAGGUUGCAGAUACUGAUACGUAAAUAGUAUAAUGUUUGAUUCCUUUAAGCUUUUCUCCUCAACCCAUGUAACAAGCGUUGGGCUAAUAGCCCUUAGAUUAGUUUACUUUAGGGUAUUAGGUGUUAAAACACCCCUUCGAGCUUAAUUGUUUAGGUUAGGGACGCUAUGAAACCAAACUUAUCUACUUUUUAUUAUCAUCAUUUUUUUGUUUUUGUUUUGUUUGAUUUUUUUUUGCAAAUUAUAUACCAUCCAUUUUCCUUAGUUGUUACCUUUAAUAAAAGAACAUAAAUAAUAUAAUAAUCCAAUGUGCAACCCACAAUCAUAUGUUGAAGUGUGUGUGGAAAUGAAGAUAUAAGAAUACUUGUUAAAUGAGCAUAUGAGCAGAAUCAAGUGAUAACAAUACGAGAGUUUGUAAACCUGAAUAUUUCAAGAAGUAUUUUGAUAGACAUUGUUAAGAAUGUUUACUAAGAUACGUCUCAAGAGUCACUUUAACAAAAGAACUGUUUUACUCUGCCAUCCUAGUAACAAUAAUUUUGUAAAUAGUUUAUGAAAUAGAAAACACAAUUAGUUUUUUUCUUAAAAUAUCAACUAUUACCCUUUCCUCCCAACCAAAAUGAGACAUUGUCCUCAAUGUCCUAAGGUAGAAAGAUAGAGU